rnacentral:lncRNA from 1 species
UCUAAUGUAUGAUGCCAGCCACCCUCCUCUCGCCUCUGGCUGCUGAGCACCCGAGACUGUUAAUUGAUGUAUUAGGCGGAGGAAUUGGAUGAUUCGAGAGCAAGAUGGGGGGUGCACUCUGCACACAUAAGGUACUGUACCUGUCACUUCCGUAACACGAGCUUAUCUAAUCACUUUGUAAGUAUGUAAUUCUCAUCCACUUGAUACCAUAAACGAUAGUUCCUUAACCUCGUGCCGGUGGUAUGUGCUGCCAAGGAUGUGACAUGGACAUGGACACGGUCACGGAGGAGCAGUACAAGCAGACCCGCACAGAACUCUUGACCCGGAGAAGCACGCAGGAUAAGCUCUAGCAGAGGCUCUGCAUGUUUUCUGAAUCAUCUGUUCCCUGAACCUUACGAAACCGCUGAAGAAAACAGGAGCAAUAUCCGUCGGUAUGGAGGGCAAGUCCUUGGUGCUUUUGGCAGUCUGCAUGAGCUUGUGGAACAAGAAAUGGAGAAUUGCUAUGGAGGAGGCUACCUGACUUGAUGCUGGAACUGGUGACCGGUAUUGGCGGAGCAAUUUUCCAAACAGAUGUUUCUCCCGAUGAACAAGAUUCUUCCUUGAACACACCAAAAGGGUAGCUGUGAAGAUUACUGCCGGGAUCCGAGUGUCGGAUUCUUCGUUGCAGUUACCCGCACCGUGUUUGCUGAGUUGGCCUCUUUGAGAAACAAGUCAGGGCAAGCUUAUUGAUAUGAUGUGCAAAACUACAAGCACGACGGACAAGGUUGGUAUGUCUUACAAAAACAGGCUUCAGUUCCUUCGACUGAUGAGACUCAAGUUACCACUGCUUUUGUAGUGAAAGCAGACUUCCGUUCCUGCGGUUGAUUGGGUUUAAGUUACCGCCGCUUUUGCAGUGUACUUCCAACACUAAUUCAUCACUAGCACGUUGUUAAUUCACUGUGGUGAUGUUCUUCUAGUAACCAUUAAUACUAUUACCAAAGGGAAAAAGUCUAUUUCAAACCUUAAACUUGUAGUGGUCGGGCGAAACAAACCCUCAAGUUGAAAUCCCGGUCAAUUGCACCCUGAACUUUGCAAUCCCGGUCUAAAUUGAACCUUCGGGUCAUUUUCCAAACAGGGAUUGUUGACGUGGCAAAGGAUGACCGGGAUUGGGGAGGAAACGCCCGCGGGUGGGCAGGCCCAGUUUGCGGCAGUGCGUGCUGCGCGUUUUUGCUUCCGUUUUUUUGGUCGUUAUUUUUUCUGUUUUUCUUUCCUGGUUCUUUUUUCUUUUCGUUUUUAUUUUUCUUUUAUAUUUAUAAUAUUUUCUUUUUUCUUUUUUAUGAUUUUUUUUAUUUUUACUGUUUCUUUUUCCCUAUAUUAUACAAAGUUCAUUGCGUGUUACAAAAAUGUUCAUUGCAUAUUUAGCAAUGUUCACGGUAUAUUACACAAAAGUUCAUCAUGCAUUUCUAAAAUGUUCAUCGUAUAUUAGAAAUUGCUCAUUGUAUAUAAAUUGGUCCCUAUGUUUUUUACAUAUUUUCAGUGGUGUAUUACACAAAUUUUUAAUGUGUAUUAAAAAAAUUGCUCAACGUAUAUUACAAAUGUUCAAUGCAUAUUCGAAAAUUGUUCAACACAUUUAUUUCUAGUUUUUCCAAAAUGUUCAUUGUGUAUAAUUUAAAAUGUUCAUCGUACAUUAAGAAAAUGUUCAAUGGAUAUUACAAAAUCUGAAGUGCAUAAUAUUCGCAAAUGUUCAAAAGAAGUUCGAUACAACAUUUAGCGCCAUCAAACUAUCAGUUGAACUCACUAGUUCAGUUGGCAAGUUCCAACUCUUAACAAGACUGAGGUCACGAGUUUGAGUCGCUCCUGCAGAACUUCUUCCAGAUGUUUUUUUGCGUGCAUGCUAUUCAACAGCUCCAAAUGGGCCGGUUUUUAUAUACUUUAAUAUAAUUUGAGCAUUCAAAAAAAAUUGUUUGCAAAUUUCGAAAAAUGAUCAUUCUUCAAUUUAUUUUUAUUUUUUAAAUAGUUGUGUUUUACUGUUUUCCAUUUUUUGAGGAGUUCUAAAAAAAUCAUAUUUUUUCAAAAAAAAUAUCAUGUUUUCAAAUUUCAUUAGUGUUUUUCAAAAAUUGUUCAAAAACAAUUUUGUUUCAAAACAUAUUAACUUUUUCUAAAAGAAAUCAUGUUUGAAUUUAAAAAAUGAUUAGAUUGGUUGCAGCUUACAUCCUAUGCACGGGGCUGCAAUUUUAUACAGAAAUUCGCAGGAAUUAUAGUGGCUAGCGACCUGGUUCCCUAACAGGAGGUGCUCAUUUUGAUCCCUCAGUGGAACUUUAGUUUUUGGGAUAUUUAGAAAAUGUUAAGUUUUAUCCCUCUUGUCUAUUUCUAUUAGUGUGGCGUUGCACAUUUGUCACAAGAGCUUGUUGGCUGCUAUGGCUAGCCGAGCGCACCAGCAACGUGAUGUUUACUAGUUCGAAUCCCAGCGGUGGCCUUCAUAUCGCUCUCGGCUGUUUCUUUUUUCGCGUUUUACAUCUCGCGAAAGCCAAAUGGGCCGGCCCAGUUGUCCUACGCCCAUGCGAGCCCUCGACUCUCUUCCACGCAAGCAGCUGUUUCUUUGGAAUUUUUGUUUUUGAACGAAAAAAAAAACUCUUAACGGCCGGCCCACCAAACGAAUCCCAGUUCAAACGAUGUCAGGGUUCGAUUUAGACCGGGAUUGUAUAGUUCACGGUGCAAUUGAGCGGGAUUUCGACUUGAGGGUUCAUUUCAUCCGACCUCUAUAAGUUCAAGGUUUAAAAUGGACUUUUUCCAUUACCAAAGUACCUUCAUUGAUGAAUGCUUACCAUUUUUUAAAACUAAAUUUGUUCGCAAAUACUACUACUUGAUAAAGUAGUGAAUUGUUUUGCUUUUCCCUGUCAAAAAUUGUUCUCAAAAUUAGGAAUACUUUGAAAAAAUUAGCGUAACAUACCCGCGCGCUUGGAAGAACACAUUUCCUAUGACAAAAAGGUAAUCAUGAGGGGAAACUGAUGUCAACUAUGAAAUAGCACGCUAUUUUUUCAUUGCUUGUUAGUAAUCAAUUUUAGUUAACAACCCUCUGGUCAGAAGCCACUGUUGGUGUCGCCCGUCGCCUCAUCGUCGCGGGAGGGAUAAUGAACUGGUUCGGCUUUGGUGUGAAUUGGCUUGGAUUUGUUGCCUGCCUUGCAACUUCAGAUCUGUUGGGUGGGUCCUGGACAUCAGUUCUGUUCUUAACAAAGUUCCAAAUUUGGGUGUGUGUGAAUCUAUAGUGCAAAACACGUGGUUCCUUGAUACAAGCCCCAAAAGUUGUGGUUUUGUAUUUUUCUCAAAUAAUUGGUUUGGAAGGGAAGAUCUUGAUCAACAUAUUGGUGCUUCUUUUAAGGAGAGCACAGGAGAUGGAGGAACUGGUAUCAUUAUUGGGGACACCUCGAAGCUUGCAUUGAGUGUUCAUGUUGCUGAUGGGGCUAUGGCGGAAGCCUUUUGCGUUGAGAGAAGGUCUCCUCACGUGGAUACUAAUUCUUUCACUAUUCAUAAUGAUUGUCUUCGGGAGGGUUCAAACUAUUAAGGAUGGAGGUUUUCUCGGCUACUUCAGUGGCAACAGUGUAUGCUGAUUGCAAUAUCUUUAUUUUCUGGAUUUGGUAAUAUGCUUGUUGAUCAUUGUAACAGAGAGGUUAGUAUAGUCGCUCAUGGGGGCUUGUUUUUUUGAAAAAAUCCCCUCCCCCCCAGGCUCUCGCGUCGCCCCCUUGCGGGCGACUCGAGGGCGACGAACCCUAGAUCCCCUAGCCCCCCUUCCUCCCUCCCUUCCCUCCCCGCCGCCUCCCGAGGCAGUCGCCGGCGCCCCGCGAAAGGAACGGCGAGGCUUGCGCUGCCCUGUUUCUCUUCAGGGAGCACUGGACGCCGGGGCGGCGGCCCCGGGUGCGAUGGAGGCGGCGACCUCGUCCGGCGGGUGGCGCCGCAGGUGUUGGCCGGCUCUUCCGUUCGCGUGGGCGUCGGUUGGGCGGCGAUGGCUCCUCGUGGCGUGCUUUGCUCCGGUAGGUGCGCCAGAUCUGGAUCCCCGUGUUUCUUCUCAGAGCCAUCCGUCCUCGCCGGCUGCCGAGUCGGCCGGCGUGUGGGCGUGGUGGGGGUUAGCUUGGGAUGGGGGAAACCUCUGGUCGACCUCCCGUCGACGGCGGCUCCGGCCCCGUUUCCCUUCUUGAGGGGGUGCUCGAUUCCCCUCCUCCCCCACCUCCUCCUCCCCCAAAUCCCGGGUAAAAACCUUGACCUUCUGUGGCCGGGCGACGGCGGCGCUCCAGCGUCGUGAUCUUCUUGAAGACGGCGCCUUGGGAUGGGUGGAGCAUAGUGGAUGUGCUCUGAGUCGUCUGCGUCGGCGGCGGCGGUGUGUUUCCUGCUGGGCGCCAUCGGUGUUGGGUGUGAGGUCGCAGUCCCGCCUCCGUUGUUGUGGUUCGCUGUGAGGUUGCUGGCCGGUGGUGGUGCUCCGGUUGGGGUGAGUGGAGAUGGUGGUCUCCCCUCCGGCAACUUGUGUGGAGAGAUGGUGCUCUCUCCCCCGUUCUCAGCUUGGCUGGCCUGACAUGUGCGACGAUGCUCAUCCCUGUGGCAGUGUCCUUCUCACCCUUCGUUUGGCGCGCCUCUACGGCCUCUGCUCGCGAUGAUCCUCUUCGGCGUGGAGCUCACCUUAGACUUGAGCUUGUUGUUUUCUUCGGUGGCAGCUGUGCUAGGGCCUAUAGCAUCUUAGUUCUUCCUGUCUACUUUUCUUACUUGUCUCAGGUUUGUACCCUUGUAUCAACACCACUGUAUCCCUAGCCGGUUGAUGGCUUCAUUAAUUUGAAGUCGGGCUUUAUGCCUUUUCUCUAAAAAGUAUAGUGGCUCAUGAGCUUGCUAGGAAUGCUUUGAUUCCAACUAAUAUAUGUAUCUGUUAUGACAACCCCCUACUUUUAUUUUCGAGAGUCUUGUGAACGACGUAACUAUUCUAUCAAAUCAAUAAAGCCCACCAUUCUAUCAAAUCAAUAUAUUUCAGAUGCGCUUGAUGUGGUUACUUCGGAAGCUAUGGCUAUGACGGAUGGCCUAGUAUUUGUUAAUUCACCUGUUGAAGCUGAAUCAAAUUCUUGUGAUCGAUCACUGUUCGGGAUAAACAAUCGGGUGGGAUGCUGCAGCAGUAAUAUUCGCAGAAUGCAUGGACAUUUCUUCAUUAAUUGGGAAGGUUAUCUUUAACCAUUUGUGUUCGCUCUGCGAAGGAAGCUGUAACACUUGGACUGACGAGCAAUCUGUUGGACGAUGUAAUUCCUAUUUGAGAUUAAUAAAGCUAGCCAUGAUGAUCUUUCCUCAAAGAAAAUAAUAAUGAAGCCCAUCAUGAUGACUUUCCCUUAAAAAAGAACAAAAACCUCCAACCCCGCCAAGCAUUUCAAUGGGAGUUUCAACUCCAUCCCCUCCAAGAGGGAGGGGGAACUCGCCCCCCUAUACAACAUGUUUUUUAGUUGCCUACGCAACCAUUAACCCUAUUUGCUAGAUUUUUUUCUUGCCAAGUAUCGAUGGAAACUUCACACCAUCAUGUUUCAUAUAAACCUUUUGAGUUGACUAUAACUUUGUAUUGAGUCAAUGGUGAUUCAUCAGAGGAUACUAUAUCAUCGAAGGUGCAUGUUGCUGCGCCCAUCCAUUUUGACACUAUAAUAUUAGGGAUAGAUUCAAUUAUAUGCGAGAGUAGUAUUUUAAUCAUGUAAUAUAAUUAUCACACUAUAUUAGUAGGUAGUAAUUUUAAUCAUGCGAUAUAAUUAUGACACCCAUGAAUCAUGUUUUUUACAUGUGUUUUGACACUUGGAAUUCAUCCGAUAGUUCUAUUUUUUGUGAGCAUGUUUGCGAUUGAUGAAAACAAUAUAAAUUGAUAAUUAUUUUUGUAUGAACAUGUUAGAUGGUAAGAAGAUUGGUAAGGUUUGAUUUUGUAUACAAAUCACAAGGGUUCUAAACCAUGGAAGGAGAGGAAGCAAGAGAUACAAGGAAAAAAACGUGUGCACUUGAUACUUUAUGGGCAAGUACAACUCCUACGGUAACAUCUGUUUAUUUUGACAAUAAAAUGAUAGGAAUUUUCAUAUAGUGCCACAUAUACAUGAAAGUUAAAUUUUCUUAAAUGAAAGAGCAAAAUUUUGAUCAGUUUCCCAAGGAAAUAAUAGACAUCAAAGAGAAGUCAAGUGAACAAGACGAGUGGAUCACUUCUAAAGAAAUAAUAUUGCAAAAAAUAGGCAAAGAUGUGCUCGAACUUAAAGGAGCGCUUUAAAUUGCCAAGUGGGUAAAAUUUUCUCAGUAUAACGACAUCUCAUUUUCAGAGAAGAAGAGAAUUGUACAUAUUAGAAAUUUGAUCUUUAGCCUACUUGUUAUAUAGUAGCAACAAUUACUGUACACCAUGAUUAAAAAAGUACAAUCUCUUCAAGAGGGACUAAUUCUUUGUUAACAUACAAUAGGUGAGCAAUCUUAUCAAACAAAAUACAUUACUAACGAAACCUAUGCUUCAUGAGUGUUGAGAGGCGAAUCUAACAAAAGAGUAAGAGAGAUAGCUAUCUUGAAGGACAAAAGCAUGAAGUAUAUGAACAUAUAGAUCAACUUGGAUAGGAUACCUAAAUGAAUGGGCCUUUAAAGGGACUUGCACACUACGGAUUUGGGGCCCUCCUGGGGAGAGAGAGAGAGAGAGNNNNNNNNNNNNNNNNNNNNNNNNNNNNNNNNNNNNNNNNNNNNNNNNNNNNNNNNNNNNNNNNNNNNNNNNNNNNNNNNNNNNNNNNNNNNNNNNNNNNNNNNNNNNNNNNNNNNNNNNNNNNNNNNNNNNNNNNNNNNNNNNNNNNNNNNNNNNNNNNNNNNNNNNNNNNNNNNNNNNNNNNNNNNNNNNNNNNNNNNNNNNNNNNNNNNNNNNNNNNNNNNNNNNNNNNNNNNNNNNNNNNNNNNNNNNNNNNNNNNNNNNNNNNNNNNNNNNNNNNNNNNNNNNNNNNNNNNNNNNNNNNNNNNNNNNNNNNNNNNNNNNNNNNNNNNNNNAGAGAAACAAAGUUGAAGCAUGCGACAACCACAACAGGAUGGGUAGUGUUUUGUCGUUAGACCCUGCCCACCACAACGACACAUAGCCGACAAUCACAACAGGAGGAAUGUGCCUUUACAGGAUGAGUCAACCCAAAAACCCAGUGGGAAAAUAUGAGGAGAAUAGUAUAUAUGUUGCUAAAACUCCUUUAAACCUGGCGGAAAAAAUAUAAGGAGGAAAUGAUGCAACAUAUAGCGAUUAUUGUCUCCUUUAUAACACUAUGAGAAAAAACUUUGAAGAAGGAGAAAACUCGUUGGUGAGUUUGGAGAACAAUAUGCUUUGUAUACAUUCCUUUCAAAAACCCCAGUGGAAAAAAUAGAAAGUAUUUCAUAUGUCGCCUCAUUAAAUUUAAAAUCCUUUUAUGAGAAACUUUGAGAGAAAGCUCAUAAGAAAAGAGUGUGAUCUGGUAUGCCAUUGAAAACUCCUUUAAAAAAUGUAUACAAUGUAAGAAUAAUUUUAUAAAAUGUUUGAUAGCAUUCCAAAAAAAUGUUGUAACAUUUUUAAAAUUUUUCAUGCAUUUAAAAAAAAGUAUUGUGACAUUGUAAACAAUGUUUAUACAAUGUAAAAAGUGUCAAUGUAAUUGAAAAAUAAUGCUACCUACCAUUCAAAAAUACAUAUAUCUUUACCUACUAAUAAACCACGCAUCGCUUCUGGUGGUACGUCAUAAAAACAACCCUCGAAGUUGGCAAUAAUUACCCACCAAUGCCACCCGUAAGUGGCAAAAACGAUUCGUUUUUAAUUUCUAAUAUCGCUCCAGGGUUCUGUUAUUAAAGGUGGAUACGAUAUAAUAGCACCAAUACAUGAGCAGUGCGAUGGCUGAGGCAACGAUGCUCCACACAGGAGACCAGGGUUUGAUCCCUGGUUCUCACGCUUUUUCUCUUUCUUUUUACCAAGCGCAGUAAUGGGCCAGCCCAUGUGCGGGUCGUGGCGCCCCCUGUUUUCUAUAUCUUUUUUUUGUUUCUAUUUUGUUUUUUCCAUAAAAAUAAAUUUCGGAUUGAUGGCGCCCCCUAUUUUUUAUUUCUUUUUACUUUUUCAUUUCUGUUUUGGUUUUUUAUCUCAAAAUUAAUUUCGGAUUUCCAAAAUAUCAAACAAUUGUGAGUUCUGAAAAAAAGUAGGAAAAUGGUAAACUGUUUGUGAAUUUAAAAAAUAUUCUAAAAAUCAAAAAAUGUUCACGACUUAAAAAAUUGCUCACCUUCUGGUGGUACGUCAUAAAAACAACCCUCGAAGUUGGCAAUAAUUACCCACCAAUGCCACCCGUAAGUGGCAAAAACGAUUCGUUUUUAAUUUCUAAUAUCGCUCCAGGGUUCUGUUAUUAAAGGUGGAUACGAUAUAAUAGCACCAAUGCAUGAGCAGCGCGAUGGCUGAGGCAACGAUGCUCCACACAGGAGACCAGGGUUUGAUCCCUGGUUCUCACGCUUUUUCUCUUUCUUUUUACCAAGCGCAGUAAUGGGCCAGCCCAUGUGCGGGUCGUGGCGCCCCCUGUUUUCUAUAUCUUUUUUUUUAUUUCUAUUUUGUUUUUUCCAUAAAAAUAAAUUUCGGAUUGAUGGCGCCCCCUAUUUUUUAUUUCUUUUUACUUUUUUAUUUCUGUUUUGGUUUUUUAUCUCAAAAUUAAUUUCGGAUUUCCAAAAUAUCAAACAAUUGCGAGUUCUGAAAAAAAGUAGGAAAAUGGUAAACUGUUUGUGAAUUUAAAAAAUAUUCUAAAAAUAAAAAAAUGUUCACGACUUAAAAAAUGUUCACAUCGAUUAUAGAAUGUUUGCCAGUUCAGGAAAAUUGCUUAAAAAUGUUCACAAUUUUUAAAAAAUGUUUGUAAAUAGCAAAAAAUAUUCAUAAAUUGAAAAAAUGUUCUUGAUUGUAGAAAAUGUUCAGAAAUUUGUAAUAAUAUGUUGUUUGCGAUUUCAAAUAUGUGCAUGAGUUUAACAAAUUGUUCAUAAUUUCAAAAUGUUCAUGAUUUCGAGAAAUUGAGAGAGAUAUUGUAUCUCGGUGAUGCAACGAAAUGUGAUCAUGACCAUUUAAAAUUAUGAAUUUUUUUCUCCCGUUGCAACGCACGGGCCCUUUUGCUAGUAAUAAUAAAGCAAAUUGAGUUUCUUUCGUCCGUCAUGACAUUUUUCAGAAAAGUUCAUCUAUUUCAGAGAAUUCAACCCGCAGUCUUGUUUUAAGUUAAAACGAAUCGUUUUUUUUUCAUAUUUUACACAAAACUCCCUGUGUUUUGUUGAAAUCAACCCGCGGUCCGGAUUUAAGUCACACCUGAACCGUUAUUUUAUAUUUUUCGAACCCCCCCUGAUGUUUUAGGUAAUUCAUCCGCGGAUCAUAUUUAAGUCAAACAAUAUUUUUUUAAAUCAUCCAUAUCUUUUAAACCGUAACUCCGAUUUGAACAUGUUAUAUAUGAAAUUUGAUUAGAAAAAUAUGUAGAAUAUGAAUAUGAGAUUAUUUUCACCUGUUAAGUAUUUUUAAAUAUUAUUUUGGAAUAUAUUUAAGUCAAAUAAAUGAUUUUCUAAAUUAUCCGUAUCUUUUAAACCGUAACUUCGAUUUUAACAUAUUAUAUAUGAAAUUUUAUUAGAAAAAUAUGUGGAAUUUAAAUAUGAUGUUAAUUUUAUCUGUUAAAUAUUUUUAAAAUAUCGUUUUGAGAGCAAACUUAUAAUUUAUAGCGUAAGUUCCGUUUUCCUUUCGUACCGGCGGCGACCCGGAUUGCAAAUAAACACCCACUAUAACAAUAUAGGGAAAAGAAAACAUCAAUAACUACACAUGCAUACCUCUGAAAAAUAUCGCAGGGGAAAACAACAGAUUUCUCAUCGCGAGAGUGAGAGAAAGCGAGAGAGAGAGGGAGGGAGGGAGAGGGAGGAGAGAGGAAGAGAGAGACGCCUUAGGAUUAAACAUAUUCAAACAUAUUUUUUUUUGUUUUGUGUGAACACCGAGGCCAUCGCCAGCGAGGGUGAGAAGGAGGAUAAGCGGCAACAUAAAUAUGAUGCCUCGCAAAAAUAAAGGAGAUGGAACAAUUGUGGUCUUGGGUGAUGAUUGUUGGGUUAAGAAUGUGUGUUAUGUUUUUUCUCCCGUUGCAACGCACGGGCUCUUUUGCUAGUAUUAGUUUAAGACAAAAUGUUACGAGUUUCAAAAAUAUGUGAUUCUUAAAAAAAUAUACAAUGUAAAAAAGAUGUUCUUAAUUUAAAAUAAUGUUUUUGUAUCAUCGAAUAAGUUUCAAUGUGUAUUUGAAUUGUUUUAACACGCAUUCAAAAAGAUCUAUUUAAGAAAAAUUAAUCAUGUAUGUGAAAAAUGUUAAACAUGUAUAAAAAUGUUUUAUAUGCAUACCAAAAAAGUACACUAUGCACAAAAAUAAAUAAAUAAAACAUAUACACGCAUAUAUAGUACAGACGCAUGCGCUCAUAUAUACGCGCAUACCCUCACCCUUAUGACGCACAUACGCACACCCUACUCUAUGAAUACCUCCGAGAGACUGAGCUAUCAUAUCAUCUUAUUAUUUUAUGAAGUCAUUGUAGGCGCCUUGUAGUCAACGGGAACGUCUCCCCCCAUUGAACGCGCAUCGUCAGAAUUCCUGAAAUUAAUCUAGGAUAAAUGUGAGCACCAGGACUUGAACCCCGAUGGGCCGAGGAUACCACUGUCUACCUAACCAUCCAACCACAGGUUGGUUCGCAAUAAAACAUAUAUUUGAUAAAACAUUAAUUAUGUGUUUGAAAAAAAUAUUACACAUAUAUACAAUAUGUUUCUGAUGUAUACGAAACAUAUACAAUAUGUAUGAAAAAUGUAGACAUUUGCUGCAAAAAUUAUAAAAAUAAAGAGGAAAUGAUCAAAGAAAACCUGUUAAAAGUCAAAGAAAGGAACCAAAAAACCGGAGAAAAAAAGAAAAAGAAAAGGAAUCCUUAUAAAACCAAAGAAAAACCGAAGAAAACAGAGUAAAAAACACAGAGGAAAAGAAACUCACGGGCAGCUAUAGUACUGAAUCGGACCCGCCUCGGGAGACGCGAGACAGAACUACAUCUCGCAGCGGGCGAGGGAUAGCCCUAGCAAACAGCAACCGUGCAGGCCCAAGACAUAGUGCUAUCUAGCUUGCAGCUCUCCCCCAACGGCCCAACCCAACCACGCGCGCAGCCACAAGCGAGGGCAGGCACGCACCGGAAGAGCCGCCGCCGCCGCCGCUCGCCUGCUCCUGCCUCGUGCGGCAGCGCCGCCGCGUGCUGCUCCCGCUCCAGCUCCGGCACCGCGGCAUCUCUCCUGCUCCAACUCGCCCCGUCCCUUGUCCCGCGCCGGCGCUGCUCCUGCGGUGCCCGGCCGCCACACCACACGCUUGGCCCAUCUCGGUUUUGGUGAGUUUUCAGGCAGCCUGCAGCCGGCGGUGGCUUUCAACAUUUCGUAUCCUGUGUAUGUGUAUGUGUCCAAUGUCCUGUAUGUAUCAUGCUUUGGUGAUGCAAUUAAGUGGUAGCCAUAGAAAUUUUGUUAUGCGCGCGUGAUUCUGCACAGCUAUUUCAACAUUUUCUUGUCAAUUGUUGUACAAACUGUCAAAUAUAAGAUGAAUCAAGCCAUUGAUUUGGUACUCUUUUCUACACCUGUAUUGUUACUUGCAUUUUUGUCAUGUUUUGUCUAUUCCGAUGGGCCGUCAGGCAUCUGCCCCUUCUCAAUGGAAAAUCAUGUAUGUGUGCGUGCCAAUAGGUCUGAAUUUUAGUCUGCCUUCGGUCGACUGAUUCAAUAUAAAAGAGCUUCUCUACAAAAUCUAUGUAUUACUAACUACGCCUCCUCUUUUGCUGUGGGAACAGUUAAAUUAUUGGCAUCCAAGCUUGGCGUCCAAAAUCUCCUUAACUUGAUGUUCUUAUUCAAGGAUGCUGGAAGAGAUGCUGCAGGGUGAGUAACGCGGACACAAUCUGCUUAUGAUAUGCAUAAAGCUGAGACCAGUGGAUUAGUAAAUCUACCUUCAUGAUAAACACAACUAACUCAAUGCCUCUGUCUCCCUUCACCAGGUGCGGGCUUAGCUGUUAAUGCUGCUAGGCCUUUCCAAACGGAGGCUCUGCACGACUUCCUGUGCAUGUUGUUGGGUUUGCCCAUGGACAACUUCGGCCAUGCACAAGCACAGCCAUCUCCUCUGGUACCGUUUCAGCAAACAUUUACCAUCGUUCUCACCAAUUCGUCUGUGCGUGGCGAAUUUUGGCACUCACUUACCACCCGAGAGAUCAAGAAAGCAAGGGGGUCGUGGCAUCCAUGACGCAUUGAGAGUCAUGCACCUCGUGCCAAGGAAGGCAUAUAAUGGCAAGGAGGAAGGUCCAUCUCACCGCCGCCUUAUCAACGACUGUAUGCAUGACAUCUUGGGAGUUCAGCCAGAAAAUCAUGUUAUGCGUAAUGGAAAAGUGCAGUUUGUUGGCUCAAGCAAUAAUGCAGAGCAAAUUUUACCCAAUACCGUUGAUUCUCAUGAUAUCUCUGCUUGUCCUUCCAUGAAUAAGCUCGCAAAGGUAAACAAGUUUAUGCUACUUAUGGAGCUGCAUAGGAGAGGAAUGAGUGCGGAUAUAUCUAUUUUAGCAUCUGCCAUGAGCUUUUGUGCUGUUAAGAAGUCCAUUAGGGGAGGUGUCCAGCUCCAUGCUCUACUGGUGAAAGUUGGUUAUGAAUUAUCAGUCCUUUCUGGCACCUCUUUAAUCAGCUUAUAUGCAAGAUGUUAUCAACUGGAGAAUGCUUGUCAGGUUUUUCAGAACAUGCCAGUUAAAAAUACGGUGUCGUGGACAGCACUCAUUUCUGGUUAUGUGCAGGAUAAUAAGGUUGAGCCUUGCCUCCAGGUGUUUCAGCUGAUGAGGCAGUCAGUGUGCAGGCCUAAUGACAUCACAUUUGCCACUAUCUUCAGUGUGUGUACUAACCACGCACUUCUUGCACUUGGUAAAAGUGUUCAUAGUCUAGAACUGAGAAUGGGUUUUGAUUUGUGUGUGCAUGUCUCUAAUGCACUGAUAUCAAUGUAUGCAAAGUGUGGGAGUAUAGAUGAGGCCCAGUCCAUAUUUGAGAGCAUUGCGUGCAAGGACCUGAUUUCUUGGAACUCCAUGAUAUUUGGAUAUUCACAGCAUGGCCUUGCUGAGCAUUGCCUAAGCUUGCUAAAAGAAAUGGAGGAGGAGCACAUAGUGCCUGAUGCAAUCUCCUUCCUUGGCAUCCUGUCAUCAUGUCGGCAUGCAUGCCUUGUAGAGGAAGGCCGGCGCUGCUUCAAGGCAAUGAUCAGACUUGGAAUAGAACCAGAGCUAGAUCACUACUCGUGUAUGGUAGACCUCCUCGGCCGGGCAGGGUUGCUCGAUGAAGCAUGGGAUUUGAUCCAUACAAUGUCCAAGUCUCCAAAUGCAGUCAUAUGGGGUUCUCUGCUGGCUGCCUGUAGGAUGCAUGGAAACAUUCCGAUUGGCAUCCAUGCUGCAGAGCACCGUCUUAAGCUGGAGCCAGGUUGUGCUGCAACUCAUGUACAGCUAGCAAAUCUAUAUGCUAGCAUUGAUUGCUGGAGUGAUGUGGCCAGAGUGAGGAUGAUGAUGAAGGAGAGAGGACUGAAGACGAACACUGGGUGCAGCUGGAUAGAAAUUGGCAAUAAGGUUUAUACCUUCACAGCAGAAGACAGAUCAAAGAGCCAACAAGUAAAUCAUGUCUUGGCUGUUCUUGACUGCUUGCGCUCUCAUAUGGAAUACAAGUAUGAUCUGCUGAUAGAUGGUCUUGAGUUUGAUGAGCCUGAAUAUUUCAAGGUAAGUUCGAGAUCGCCCCAGUCAUUUGUCUAUAUGAAGAACGAAGAAUCAAUUCUAUAGAAAAAGCAUGACUCACACCUCAGGGACUUGCAAUAUGGCAUCAGCUUUAGUGUUUUCCCAUCUGCCAUCUGAUUUUUGAUGCUCAAUAUAGUCUUAUUUAUACAAUUGUUGUAAACCAGGUUUCAUUAGUGAUUAGUACAAACUAUGCGGGGACUUUUGAUGUAAAUUGGAGUCAAAAUAUGAGAAGGGUGGAUUGACUAGACAAGGAUUGACGGUUUCUUUCUCUCCUGCUAUUUUUGCACUGAUCUGAAAGUGCAAAUUACCUCAUAAUUUCAGUUUGACAUCUGGAAAUUACUCCUUGACUGCAACUUAUAGAUAACUAGUAUCCUCUAAAAAUUAUUUCGUAGUUGCAUUUAUUAUUUUUCCUUUGGGUUGUGAAAGAAACAUAUUUAAUAAUGGGUAAUUCUAUAUUUUACUUAUUGUUUUCACCGAUGUUAGUAGUGGGGUCAAAAGCCUGGCCUUUACUUUAAGUAAAUUGACAGCAAAGUACAUAAUCACAAAACUAAAGACACUUAUUGAGAAUCCGAAACUUAACCGUUGGACAUGCUGGCGACAAUAUUUAUGAACUUCACAUGCAAAAUAUGUAGGCACCUUGCACAUGAGCAGAGUUUAAGGUCUCGACUAUCAAAAGUUCAGAUUAUUGUUGGCAAGGAACUCCACAGAAAGCACCAUGAUAGCAAUCAAAGAUUGUUCGUCGAGAUAACACCCACUAAAUCAAGCAGCUAAGACCAAAAGCAUACUUCAGCACUCAGGCAUUAACACUACGACCGGUUCCGUAGCAUUUGAGAAAGUUUCCGUUGCUUCCAACCACCGACGAUGGGGAAACUGUGCGACUCAGCAGAAGAACAUCGUUGACGCUACAUUGGGAUGCAGACGAGGCAGCUCCGGCACCGGGGCAGCCUCAGCCUGGGACGAUGUCUCCGACAUAUCAUCGAUCUUGGUGAACUUGGCCACCUGGCCCGCUGCAAGGUGUGCGUAGAAGAUGGGAGCAACUGAGAGGGAAAAUCAGAUGGUCAGCCAUGCCUUUUUGAUAUAUAUGUUGCGAAAUCAAGUAGUGGAAAAUCAUGCUUACCUACUGAGAUUGCUGUGGUGCUCCUCUGGUACCUGAAACGAGUUCGCAAGCAUUGAAAUAUCAAAAGGAUGCAGUGAUGAUCAGAGGCAAGGUAACAACUGAAUCUUUUGUUAAAACUAACUGCUUUAGUGGACAUACACAUAGGAUAGGGAGUGCACGAGCUCCUCCAGCUCAUCAGCAGAGAAGCCUAUCUCAUCGUGGAGAACAUGGUAGUGUGUUGGCCUUGUAGUCCCCUGGAACACAAAAGCAGAAUGACUUAGACUCAAAUAAACAUUUGCAACGAUGUGAGUUACAAUCACAACUCACAAGGUAGAGAGAACGUACAAUUAUGCCAGCAUGAGCACACAUGUAGAAAUCAUAGUUCCUUGGAUGGCAGAUUCCACUAUCAACCACAGUACCUACACAAGGGGAAAAUAGGAAUAUGAUAAGAAUGUAUGUGUAAAAAGGCCUAAGAAUUGCUCAUUUGGUCCAUACAAAAUUGUAGGUGUAUAGAUAAAAGAUGUAGGUUACCUGGGGGGGCAUUAUUCACUUAGGUCUCUGUCCAUUUCGCGAGAAAAAUCUCGUGUGAUGAUUCUUCUGUGCAACUAUCAAUGUGAACUUGGGGAACCAGUUACCAUUAAAAUGCUUGCCACCAAAAAACUUGCAUGCCUGUAUCAAUUAAAAAGACAUUACUAUCCAGAACUGGCUCAUGAAGAAUGGAACAUCAUUUAUGUUUUUACCUCCAUGAUCUGAGCUAGCUCCUCGUUCAGUGCCUGAUUGAACUGGCUCUCACUAACGCCAUCCCUAACAUCAAGACAACAUAGUUUCCUUAGAAAUCAGGGUGCCAAAGUAAACUUGAAGAUGGCAUCGAGUAUUAGAGUCAGUUUGUACUCUUAACAUCGAGGGGCAACACAAAUUGUCCACCAAUUUCUACAGAAAAAUUAUGCUGCUUAAAUGCAAAGUCUACUAUCAAUUAUCUAGGGAGGACUACUGACCUGAAAAUGAUAAUUUGUUCCGGCCUCUGACCAUCGUUGUUUCUGAGGAAGUCAACUAGUGAAUCCCUGAAAUUGUUAUUGUCCCAGUGAGCAACAAAACAAAAGCAUAUGUAUAAUUAGGAAGCAUUGCUAUUACAAUUGUUUAAAUUGCACUUCUAUAAAUCCAAGCAGAAGAAACUCACUUAAUGAGGCCAUGAUCAUCAUCUCCAACUGGCUUAAACAAGGUAUCAAUCAUUUCCAGCCUGGGUGACUGAGUGCACACAGAAGCUCUGUACUUCGACAUGAUUGGCCACUUCAAUGAACUAACCACCUAGGUAAAUGCCAAAAAAACACCCAGGUGAGUAAGCAAAUUGUCGGUUGGAAAAUCUCUCCAGCACCAUCAGCUGACACCUGACUUCUUACUGCAGGAAACUGUAAACAUAAGCAAAACUUACUGCAGCAACUGAUGGUACAUUUUGUCCUGGUGAACCAUGGGAAACAUCCAUACCAAAGAUGAUGGUUGGUACCCUCGACACGUGAGGAAUAGCACGGAUUGUUUCCUUUUUUAGCAAUGAAUUCAACCCGCCAAGCUGAUUGGCAGAAAUGAAACAAAACGAAAGCAUUCAGUUUUUCAGCUAACAAAUCCAAAUUGUGUGGUACAUUAAAGGGCAGCCCGGUGCACGUAGCUCCCGCUUGCGCAGGGUCCGGGGAAGGGUCCGACCACUUUGGGUCUAUAGUAUGCAGCCUUUCCCUACAUUUCUGCAAGAGGCUGUUUCCAGGACUCGAACCCGUGACCUCAUGGUCACAAGGCAACAAAUUGCGUGGUACAUUGAAGAUGCAAAUAUAGAUCACAACACAAACCUUUGCAUUUAUCUUUAGCAGCACAUUUGUGAGGUACUGAUCUUUGAUAUUGGCAGGAGGAACCAAGCAUUGCGUAAAGAAACCAUGUUUCACAAGGCAUUCACGCUUCCACGGUCCUGAUAAGAACAAUAGAUUAGGAUAAUAAAUAAAGACAUAAUAAAGUUUAUUUGCAAAGUUGAGGUAGCAGAGCAAACCAUAGAUGUCAGAGUUUUUCUCAGGAAGAACACACAGGAGAAAGAGAAAGUCUGGUUUCCUUUUUAGCUUUGCUUUUAUCUGCUCAAACAUAGCCUCUACCCUUUUUGUCGGAGGCUCCCGUCUCGUUUGAUGACUCUCCUCAAUUACAGCGCCACAUUUGGCCAUUUCCUGCAAAUAUAACUUGAUCAAUACCAGAUUUUUUUGAAAAAACCCAAGAUUAUGCAAAACGGUGAACUUACAAUUCCCUUCUUGGCACCAGAUUGGACAAGGCGGCUGACAAGAUCUUCAACAUUAUAUCGUGCAGAAAAAUUAACAACUCCCCACAUCUUCACUUUUAUGGGUUGAAUGAACCUCUGGAGAGCAGAACUGGGAACGUUACCGCAUCAAUAACAAUAUGCAACAAUAAAGAGUUUACAGUGCACAUGUGUAGAGUUCAAUCAAGAGGUAUGUUCAGUUGCUUACGUCAUUAUUGAAGUUCCACCGCCCAUUAGGUGUACGAAGUUCUCUACCAUCUGCAGAGUUUAACUGCACAUUACGAUAUUUAAUUAGAUGCAAGCAGCAAAGGGCCUGCAUAGUAGGCGUUCAAAGACAUACAUCCAGUGAAAAGAGCAGUAUGGCUCUACUAACCUGUGGUGCCUGAAGGACUCUACCCUCGACUUGAGUAAACUCUGGAUCUAUCGCAAUGCCGCAUUCCCUCAGCAUUGGAUCGGAAUUAUAAUUAUUGGCACGCAACGCCUGGGUAAAUAAAAUUGAGAUUUAUUGUAUUUUCAAUAUUUUUAGACCCUGUGAACAUUAUCUACUGCAGUAUUGCUGAAUUCAGGUUAUGAGAGUAACAUACACCAGAUAAGCUCAACAUCCUUUGAUCCGGCCUCUGCCUGGAUCCCUCCACCAGCUUUGACCUUUGCAACGUUGACAGUGACUUUUUAUACCUUUGUAAUGGCAGUAGAAUGCAAACCUGGUUGCAAACAUGAAAUUAGCACCAAAAACACAAGAGACUUUGCACGGGAAGAAUGACUCAGAACAAGAACAGCGAGAAAGGGACGGACCUCCAGCGGGAGGUAUGUUGGGCGCAUUGGCUUCCCCGCAAUUAGACAGGGCAAAUUAGCAGACUUUUCCAUCUUCAUAGACCAACGAUUCAUGAAGUGAUCAUAGACAGUUACAUCCACAGUGUUGCCAUCCUUUUGCUUUUGUGGGAAACUAGAACAAGAAUGAAUUUAUUGAAACAAGAGGACGUGAGGCGUAUGCCCUGAACUUGCAUAUAACAAUUCAAGAGUAAUAACAUCUUACGUCUGCUCAUUGCAAUUGUUUUCGGUCAAUCCAGUAAUCAUAAAUUCUGCCUUCGUGUGAAUGGUCUCGAUCCUUAAUUUGUUCAGUGCCCGUUUGGCCUAAAAUCAUGUCAAGGGUGACCAAGGUUAGAGCAGGGAAACAUGUUAGUCUAGUGAUGGAUUCUUUAAGGACUGAACAUCUAUUAAGAAAUCACGAUGUAGUAACAUACUUUGCGCCAGUCAAUUCUGGAAGUGUCCUUCACAUCCUGGUUGAAGAGUAGAAAGUCAAUCACAGGCCCGGGUCUCACUACCAUCGUGGUGGUUAAAUCUGCAAAAACUUCAACAAUCAAUCAUAUGUAGUGCAAAUAUGCCACCUUCAAUCUUGUAACAAACUUUUUUUCCAGGAAGCUCAUGCAAAUUAGGCCUUGAGAUUAUAAACAUACCAACAUUGAGUGAGAGCCCACUGAGAGUGGGUCGAAAGCUAGAAUAAAAACCCUGACAACCGCGAACACCGCCACCCAACUCCAAGUAACGGGAAUCUCCACGGAAAAAAGACUGUCGGACUAAAAGGCAAUUCCUGCGGCCAGCAAGAAAGCUGAGUGAGUAUAAGAACAUGGAAUUGGUUGUUAUAAUAAGAACCUAACAGAGAGCCAUCAUAGAGUUUGCAACAUUUGAUAAACAGAUCAAAAAGGUUGUGCUACAUAAACUUAAGAACAUACUGUUUUGCAGAGUGCUGCCUCAGAAUGAUGUCGAGAACCCGAAGAGCAUCCUGUGAGGAAUUGUUCAUCCGAACCUUUGCCGCGAAGGUUAUCUCCACCUUGAAAAUUUUGGAGUGUGCUUCUGUUUUCAUUCUCUUGUUGUCACUUGGCCCUGGGCUGCCAUCUCCUCCAUGGCUCCCGCUCGUUGCUGCAAUCCUGCAAGUUAUAUUAAAUGUCAAGAUGAUUCCCACUACCAAGAGAAGAUGAUGAGUUCCAAGAAUAGAUGACAUAAAAUGGGUGAUGGAGCAGAUGAGUGUUUUACCUUCGGGAUGAAGCAUCAACCAGGAUAACCUCAAACACAUUGGUGGUAAAAGGAAGAGGCCCAGCGGUGUAGAGGCCCGUCUCGCCGUCGUAGGCGAAUUGCUUGCCUGCGAGGUCAGAGGCGUAGGUCUCGUAAAGCUGCCUCAUCACUUUCCUCCCCACGCGUUCCCCAGCAGCGGGUUGACCGUCUGCGUACUUGAGAUCUACCUGUGGAUGGAAAAAUUGGAAACCAAGUGUUGGCAGGUGGCCAUGGAAAUCAAGUUGAAGAAAUGGAAUGGUGAUGGAUGGACUAGUUUAGGAGGAGGGAUUGCUGUACGUGAUAGUGGUAAAAGAAGUCAUGCGCUGGCUUCCAGGAGGCUUUGAAGUGGUUGGUGAGCAGCGUUAUGCGCCGCCCCCUUGUGCCGGGCUUGGGUGGCCUUGUGAUGGGAAGCAUCUGAGGCGUGGGCGGCGCCUUGCUGGGUUCAUCGCCCUUGCCGCGGUGCAGCAUUGGCGACUUGCUGGAAUCAUCCUUGCCAGGUUCAUCGCCCUCGCCACCGUGCGGCAUUGGUGACUUGCUGGAAUCGCCCUUGCUGCUCUGAGCCUGCGACUCCAUCUUUUCUGCAAGGAAAACACAGAGCAAGGAAAUUCGCUCAGCAAGGAUGUACUCUUGAUUGGGCAGGGAAUUAACCAGACAUUGUGCGCACUGCUCCACGAUUAAUUAGUUCCCUAAAUAUAUGAAAAGCAAAUUGAUAAAAAGGAUGCAACUUAUGUAACAUGAAAAUAUUUUCUGAUGAUACUACAUGGUAUGUUUCCCAAGAAAGGGGAAAUGAUCCCCUCAAAAAAGCAAAAAAAGAAAGGGGAAAUGAAGUUAGGGGUUGUAUUCCCAACUCCAGGAGGUGAUUAAGAUCGAGCAAAGAAAAAAAUGCGGACAAGUAAUAUAAUCUGGAAUCUAAGAACCAGUGAAACAAUCAAUUGGUACAACAUCAGCAUAACUUUUUUUUUUAUGCAAUAGGGGUUUGGUUUUCCCCCAGUUCUAUUGAUGUGAAACCACAAGUUAUUUCGCAAAAAAAAAAAAGAAGAUAUGGAACCACAAGUUGACAGCAUUCGGUGCCGUCUAACCCAGGGGAGGAAACAAGAGGAAAUCACUUCGUAGUAAUUUGCAUACAAAAUAUAAUUAAUAAUAUGUCGCCGUUCCUGAUCUGUCGCAUCCCAAAAACACAACACCACCAUACAUCCCGCAAAAAAAGAAGAAAAAGCAUCACCAUACUUUCUGCACCAACCUGAAAACCCUCUGAAUAGGCGAAACAUUAGUGACUCACUCAUCACUCACAAAGUUAAAAGCCAUAAUCCUAGAUUCGCACGGCCGACCAUCGAGAAGACGAACUAGUGCAAUGCAGCGACAGAUGGAUCGAGCGAGCGAGUCCGCCGCGGGAAAACCCUGAAAACCACCGACCUAGCUAGCGACUACGUCGCCCACGCCAUGGAUCUAUCUAUCCUCGGUCGGCAAGAAAACGGCGAGAAAGUAAAUACACCGUGAAACAAUAUCCGAAACUAGCUCAGAAACAGAAUCAAGCAGGCGCAGAGACGAGAGAAAACCAAGAAGAAAUGCAGCGAGGGCGCGUGGCCAGGCGGCGAUGGAGAGGAGAGCUCGUCACCUUGGCCUCUUCCUCCUGGGAUGGACGGGUCACCGGCAACGGCAACGACGGCUCGCUCGACGGAUCUGCCCUCUUGGGCUGGAGCGGAGCGGGAGACGAAAACCCUCGCUGGUUCCUCGACUGGCUGGCUGGCUUCUGAGGCACACCACUCCCAGAAAACCCCCGCUCCCUCCCCCUCGUAUUUAUUAUGGCAAGCGAGGAAUCCCCUCUUUGCCUUCCAUGGCCGUCGACCGCCUGACUGACCGACUGAUUGACUGACAGGGGGCAACCGGUACGCAACGCAACAGGGCCCCUCGCCCCUCCUCUUGUAUCGCUGUGAUGUGGGCCGCCAAGUGACGGGGUCCCGCGCGUCAGCCUCGGUCGAUCUGUGUAUGCACCAAUGUGGUAUGCACGCAUGGCAGACACGGAAAAGAACUGUGGACGUGUUAAAGUGGAGUUGUUUUCUGAUAAUACAGUGCUCCACUUACUAUAUAGAUAAAAGGGGAUGUAUCUAGAUGGCAAGUAUUUUUGGAUGAAGGGAAUACAUCUUGCCCGUCAAAUCCUCGAUCAUACUUAACACUCCCACUAGUUAAGUUAGUGGUUGUUUGGGUAACUAGUACAGUUUUAUUUAUAUAACAAUAAAACAGUUUUAAGGCUGCUCAUAGUGGGGAAUGUCACAUGUAUACAAGUAUAUACUUAUAUUAUGCAACAGGAAAUCAUUUGUUUUCCACCGACUGAUAAUAAUGAGAACUUAAACCGUGUCCGCUUAGCGACACGUGCCCCCGCAACCCGUCCACCGCUUUCUGGUAGUUCUACACCUAUGAAGACCCUAUGCAAGUCUACGAAACCUUGUAAACUAAUGUGAACACCCCCUCCCCCCGAAUUUUAGGGGGUGGCCCCCUUCCUCCCCUAAACACCAAUCCGCCACAUUGGUUUCUCUAUCUCUAUCUCUACUUACUUGAAAAGGAUAUAAGGUUCCUGUUUCACCUUUCUUCACAUCACCCCUUCGUCCAACCUUCCCCAUAUAAUAACCAAUCACCUUAAUUUACUUACCUUCUGAACCAAUUUCAUUUUAAUUUACUUACCAAACUUCUAACCGAAAUAUAAGGUAAAUCACGGACAUAAUUUGAUGAACAUUUAUUUAUACAAUCGCAUACUAUGGGCGGGUAAACCACUUCUGAUAGAAAUAUGAGGUAAAUCACGGGCAUAAUUUGAUGAUCAUUUAUUUACACAAUCGCAUACUAUGGGCAGGUAAAUUACUUCUGAUCAAAAUAUAUGGUAAACCACGGACAAAAUGUGAUGAACAUUUAUUUACACAAUCGUAUAUUAUGGGCGGGUAAAUCAUAAGUUAACAUACUAGAAUAUUUAUAUCCCGUACGCACGAGCAUUGUUCUAGUUUACCUAAACAUGCGUAGUUAGUCUAGGUAGGACUUGUGUUUCCUCAUCGGUUCCCCUCAAGGCUCCAGCCUUAUCCCUUCGAGAUGUCUCUGCUCCACACAAUUCUCCCCCUUCAUUUUUCCCCUCUCGAUAUCUUGUUCGUCUAGCUCGAGAGGGAAUGGCUCCCAUGGUGUCGCGACCAUGCCCACCACCUGCUGCAUCCCCGCCGCAAAAUGAAGGGCGAUGUGACCACUACUCUCUCCGAAACAACUCCGCUGCAAUGCAACCUCACCAUGGGAGCACCACCUUUGCUACAAACAGGAAAGGUUAACGCCGGCCACCCUCGCACGCCAUCGUCGCGGUGUUCCUAGUCUCGCCUCUAAGACUAGCGCUCAAGUGUUGUUGGUGAUCACGUUUUCCGAAUCUUAGGACAUUGUUAAGUGUAACGAUGGUCCUAAAACAAUAUUGAGAUUAUGAUGUUGGAAGAACGAUCAUAUUGAAUCGACCCAAACUUGUUUGUUAUGAAUUGAAAUAAAAUCGUUUGUAAUCAAUUGUAAUUAUCUGGAGUGUUUACACAUGAUUUUGCUCCUUAGACCAUGAGAGUAUCAUAGUCACUCCUUACCAUAUGGUAGAUUUUGGGGUUGCUCAAACGCCACAUGUAACACGGUAAUCAUUAUGAGAACUUACAGAUUCAUCGAAAAGUUUGACAAAGGACUAGAUAGCUCGAGAGUGGGAUUUGCUCCUCCAACGAUAGAGAGAUAUUCUUAGGGGCCUCUCAGUGUGACAACAUCCAUCAUCGUUUGGCCAGACACAGCUGACUUCAUCACGGGGAUGCCGUAACACGACAAUGAGAAAGAAGAACAAAACUAGUAUGAUAUCGAUAUAGUGAGCAUGUGAUGACUUAGGAGGAUACCGACACAUCCCGGGUUUGGUGAAGUAUCGCGAAACAAAUGAAAACAUCACAUUAUAACCAAGUUUUACUCGAAUAUCAUUCGUGUGCUCAUAGGGAUCUAUAUGGACGUCUAUGGUUUCGCUAUCAGUCAUUGAACAAAGGGGUUUCGUUCAUGUCUAUGAGUUGCCGAACCUAUGGGGUCACAAGUUUAAUGCUAUCAUGAUCCACUGAGUGUUAGUAGGACCGAAGUGAUGAGAAUAUAUUUGUGUAAUUGUUUCAUUAAUAUUCAGAAUAGUUCCGAGAGGAUGCGGGAGUGUUUCGGGUCACCGGAAGGGUUUCAGUGAAUAUCAGAUAAUGUUUUUCGGGAUGUUAAGUUAUAUAUAAAAUGGUCUAAAAGUAUUUAGAACAAUUUUCUAUUUAAUUUAAUAUCAACGGGGCUAAAAAGCCAAGAGGUUGAAGGCAACUUGGGCUACAAGGGCCAAAGUGGGAGGCGCCUCCCUUCCCUAAGGAAGGAGGCCAAAUUGGAGUGGAGAAGAAGUCCAACUCCUUCUCGCUUGGCCGGCCAAAUGGGAGAGGGGGGGGGGGACUUCUAAGGGAGUCCUGGAUUCGUGGGUCCUCAGGUGUCCGGCCCAGGAGUAUGGGCCGGGUUGGAUGGGGCGUACAAGAUCAAGCUGAAGAUUAUCCACCGUGUCUAGAUGGGACUUCUCAAAAUGUGGACGGCAAGAAUAGAGUCCGGAAGCUUCCUUCGCUGAUAAACUAACCUUGUACAAACCCUAGACCCCUCUGGUGUGUAUAUAAACUAGAGGGGUUAGUCCGUAGAGGCUAUCUUCUUCACCACCAUUGGAAUUCUCAUAGGCUAGACAUCUAGGCUCAAGCCCGACAAGAGGAAAAUUAAUCACCCGCCGCUCACCCACCUCGUGGCGGUCAUUGAGGAACCGGCCACAGACACUUCCCUCCCCAUAUUGAAAACCAAGUAUGUUUGGGUCCCCGAAUCCCCUGAGCCGGAUACUUCCCCUUUGGACGGGACCUUACGCCCUCCGGACUCUGGUUCAAGUUUAGGAUCGCCGGAGCCUUUGCGCUUAAUCGGAUCCAAACCCGUCACUUCGGAAACCAUUCUGGCUCCAAACACAGAUGUGGGACAGGAUCCAAAAUUUAAUCCACCCAUCCACCACAAUCUAUAUUCUCCAAGCAACUCAGGUCCUCUAGAUAUAUACGACCUGAUGUAUGUGCGGCAGCAGCCUCAGGAAAUGGUUCACCACUUUUGGGCCAGAUUCUUGCUUGUUAAAAACAGGAUCAAAGACUGCUCGGACGACGACGUAGUUUCAGUUUUCCACCGUAACUGCACCGACGAAGGAAUAUUGAAUUCCCUCGACCGUUGCCACAUACAGAGUUUCACGGAAUUAUCGCAAGUAGUACAAAAGUAUUAUGCGAUGGAAAGCACAUGGAGGGCCUAGGAAACUCAACUGGAGCCCGCUGCCUUGACACAAUGUGCGGCCUAGGCCAAACAAAUACAUCUUGGCGGGUCACUCGACCACCAGUCUAUGGGCAGGAAGAAUAAACCCUUCACAGGACACAGAUUCGUUCUUGACGAACUGCUGGACAAGCCCUGCCCGAUUCACGCCACUUUGCACACAGUCCCAACCCAUAGCCUCCGAGCAUGCUGGGUACUCCGACAAGUAGCAAAAAGUGGAGAGGCCAUCCUCACCACAACUCCAGAGAGAUACUCACCAGAGAAGGACAACUUUAACGUCCUAACAGUCUUUGAGACAUUUUCUUCGAACAAUCGGUGCAAACGGGCGCUGCGCGACCUCGCCGAAGUCCAUCAAGUUACCGCAUUGAGCCCAUGGAACUACAGGGUAAUAACCUUUAUGGCCGAAGACGAACCAAAGGCUCGGUCAGUCCGAGCACCCGCCGCCUUAGUACUAAACCCCAUCAUUGAUGGUUUUUGGCUUACUAAAGUGCUCAUGGACGGCGACAAUGGACUUAACCUCAUCUACGAGGUCACGCUCGACAAAAUGUAGAUGGAUAGAUCACACAUCGAACAAAGCAAUACCACCUUUCGAGGUAUUAUCCCCAGUUGAGAGGCACACUGCUCGAGAAAAAUUAAAAUGGAUGUGGUGUUCGGCACGCCUGAGAACUAUAGAUCCGAAGAGUUGCUCUUUCAUGUGGUCCCCUUCAAUAGCGGGUAUCAGGCCAUCCUCGGCCGGGACACUUUCUCACGCUUUCAAGCUAUACCCCAUUAUGCGUAUAUGAAACUCAAAAUGCCUGGUCCUAAUGGAAUUAUCACAAUCUCGAGCGACCCGGACAAAGCCCUUCGUGCCGAAAACAAAACUGCAUCCUUGGCCCUCGAGGCACUAUCCGAAGCCCUAUUGGCGGAGGAAUUAACCACCCCACGGUCCACGAUGGAUAAAGGCGAUGUGAUCCCCUAUAAGAGAUCCAAAUCCACCUCUUUCAAGCCAGCCUAGGAAAUAGUAAAAUUCCAACUGCACCCAAUGGACCCUAAUAAAACAGCAUCUAUCGGAGCACAGCUGGAUCCAGCAGUGGACGCUGCCCUACGCACAUUUCUGUGAGAGAAUUGGGAUAUCUUUGCCUGGCACCCAUCAGACAUGCCCGACAUCCCACGAAGACUGGCCGAACACAGUCUUAACAUAAUCAAGGGAUUCAAACCCGUGAAGCAGACACUACGGCGAUUCUCCGAACCCAAGCGUCAAGCCAUGGGAGAAGAGCUAGCAAAAUUGUUAGAGGCUGAAUUUAUUAGGGAAAUUAAACAUCCGGAUUGGUUAGCCAACUUGGUUAUGGUACCAAAGAAGGACAAAUCCUGACGCCUCUGUGUCGAUUUCAAGGACCUCAACAAGGCUUGCCCUAAAGACCCCUUCCCAUUGCCUCGCAUUGACCAAAUAAUUGAUGCAACUACAAGGCACGACUCUUUGUGUUUCCUCGACGCUUAUUCCGAAUACCAUUAGAUUAAGUUGAAGGAAUCGAACCAGGAGGCAACCGCGUUCAUCACCCCUUAUGGCCCCUUCUGCUUCAACACUAUGCCCUUUGGACUCAAAAAUGCUGGGGCUACCUACCAGCGCAUGAUUCAAACUUGCCUGGAAAAGCAAAUAGGCCAAACGGUCGAAGCAUAUGUGGACGACGUAGUCAUCAAGACAAAGCACGUCAAGACACUUGUGGACGAUCUUCGCCUCACCUUCGACAACCUCCGAACAUACGACAUACGUCUUAAUCCGGAAAAAUGUGUCUUCGGAGUUCCGACCGGAAAGCUGCUUGGGUUCAUCGUUUCCCAUAGAGGAAUUGAAGCAAACCCAGCCAAGAUCCGAGCGCUGUCACAAUUGGCCAUACCAAACAGACCUAAAGCAAGUCCAGAAGUUAGCGGGUUGCGUUGCGGCCUUAAGCCGCUUCAUCUUCAAAUUGGGAGAAAAAGCGCUACCACUCUACAAGCUAUUAUGACGCACAGACAACUUCAAAUGGAUGGAUGCUGCCACAGCUGGACUGGAAGAUAUUAAAACCCUUCUUGCAAGCAACCCAAUCCUAGCUGCACCAGGUGUUGGAGAGCCCAUGUUGUUAUAUAUUUCAGCGACUAACCAAGUGGUUAGUGCUGUGCUCGUCAUUGAACAAGGGGAAGAGGGACAUAAAUUCCCCACCCAAAAACCAGUCUAUUACGUAUCAUAGGUCCUUACACCUUGCAAAUCCCGAUACCCCCACUACCAGAAGAUAGCCUACACAGUCUUCAUGGCAUCCCAUAAACUGCGACACUACUUUCAAGAGUGCUCGAUCACAGUGACAUCCAAAGUACCACUCAAUGACAUUAUCAAUAAUAGGGACACCACUGGCCGCAUAGCCAAAUGGGCCAUCGAGCUUUUACCGUUCAAAAUCAUAUACAAGCCACACCGGGCUAUUAAAUCCCAGGUAUUGGCCGAUUUUGUCACUGAAUGGAUGGAAGCCGAACUCCCUAAAGAGUAUAGCUCAUACUCCAAUUUGAUUAUGUACUUCGACGACUCUAAAAUGUUGGCCGGACUGGGGGCUGGCGUCAUCCUAACAUCCCCCACUGGGGACACAGUCCGCUAUCUACUACAAAUUAUGUAUACGAAUUCCAACAAUGCAGCCGAAUACGAGGCGCUGCUACAUGGUCUUCGCAUGGGUGUCUCCAUGGGUAUACAACGCCUAGAGGUGCGCGGUGACUCCAACCUCGCAAUUUCCCAGGUCAAUGGAGAGUUCGAUGCAAAGGACCCAAAAAUGAUGGCAUGUCGAAACGCCAUAUUAAAAAUAUUAGCCCAGUUUGAAGGACUGGAAUUUCAUCAUGUCGCUCGAGAGAGUAAUCAGGCAACCGACAUCCUCGCUCGUAUGAGCGCUAAGCAUGACCCUGUGCCACCCAACACCUUUGUGGAAAGGCUCUUUAAGCCAUCUGUUGUGUGGCAGGGUGAGAGCGGAGAAGGCAAUACGGACCUGAUCACACCCCUAGCCGCCGAACACAAUGCAGACACCGUCGGGGGUCCGGAUAUCGAGAUAACACCCUCUGCUCAUAAGAUCAUGGCAGUUAUCUCUCCCUGGACCGAACCAUUCCUGGCCUACCUUAAUAGGCAAGAGCUCCCCGACGAUCAAAACGAGGCUCGAUGCAUAGUUCGGCGCUCUAAAGCCUUUAAAGUACGUGAGGGUGAACUGUAUAAAAGAAGUACUACCAGAGUCCUUCUAUCUCCGAAGAAGAGGGAAGGCAACUCUUGGCAGAAAUACAUGCUAGCCUCGGCGGUCAUCAUGCCGCAGCUCGAGCCCUCGUAAGCAAGGCGUUUUGGACAGGGUUUUUCUGGCCCACGGCUCAAGAAGAUUCUCAAGCCCUUGUCCAACAUUGCGUGGGCUGUCAGCUUUUCGCCAAUCAAAGCCACAUGCCUCCCACCGCAUUAAGAACAAUCCCCAUUACUUGGCCCUUUGCAGUCUGGGGGCUUGACAUGGUUGGACCCCUUAAAGGGGGAAGCCACAAAAAGAAAUACUUGCUGGUCAUGGUUGAUAAAUUCACUAAAUGGAUAGAGGCCAAACCAGUAAAAACAGCUGAGGUUGGACCAGUGAUUGACUUUAUAUCCGGCGUAGUCCACCGUUACGGUGUCCCGCACAGUAUCAUCACUGAUAAUGGCUCUAACUUCACAGUUGAUGUGGUGAAAACUUGGUGCGCUAAGUUGGGCAUUAAACUCGACUAUGCAUCCGUAUACCACCCUCAAACAAAUGGCCAAGUCGAAUAGGCCAAUGGUUUGAUCAUGAGUGGUAUUAAGCCCAGACUAGUGCGCUCUUUACGAGAAUCAGACAAGCACUGGGUUGAGGAACUCGAUUCUGUACUUUGGGGACUCCGGACCACGCCCAAUCGAACGACCGGAUACACACCUUUCUUUAUGGUGUAUGGCACAGAGGUCGUAUUGCCCUGCGAUAUUAUUCAUGACUCACCUAGAGUGCGCAUGUACAAAGAGAAAGAAGCUGAACUAGAUCGGCAGGACGACCUAGAUGGACUCGAAGAGGAGCGCGGCGUUGCUAAGGCCCGUUCCACAUUCUAUCAACAACAGGCCAGGUGUUACCGAAGCAGAGAAGUGCGGGCUAAAACAUACAAUGUCUGAGAACUUGUUCUACGCCUCUUGAAGAAGAAAAAGGAUAAGCUCAAACCCAAAUGGGAGGGCCCCUUCGCCACAGAUGAAGUCCUUACUGGAGGAGCCUAUCGCCUUCGCAAUGCAGAGGAUAAUCGCCUUGAGUCGAACCCAUGGAACGCCGCCUGACUCCGAAGAUUUUACGCAUAGUUCGGCCUCCUUAGGUUUCAUUUUAAACUAGGUUUUUUCUCUUUUCUCUCCCUUUUUAGUUUUUUCCACUUUCUUCUCAAAUGUAUGUUCGGAUAGACCGCAUUGUUGGGGGUACACAUCUUCAAAUGUAUACACCCCACCAUACAUGGGGGCUUCUUUUAAAGAAGCAUUUUGUUGAAAAGCUUACAAGCUUCUUUUGUCCAUAAUGGUUGUUGUUUCCGCCAUUUUAUGCACCUCUAUGACUUAAGUUUUUGCCAAGCUGGGUUGCCUUGCUCCUGUAUUUAUACUCUACGUUCCCGAUUGUUCGCCUAGGGUGUAAAGGGAGUACCUCUAUGAUUGUUACUACCGGGUUAUCCAGACCUGUACCUCUAACGGGUGAAGCCGAAAGCUAGCGUUCUUAAGGGAAUAAUUGGUCGGCACAUAUACAACAAACUGUUUCUGAAAAAAACUAUGAAAUUGGCUACCUGUACUUCGGAUACGAGCCUAGCCCAAGGAAAGGAACCCCUAACGAAACUAUUUUUCUUGGAAGAUAUUUCUUACGUUAAAAAGUAAUAUAACAUAACUCCUCGACUACUUUUGUCUGUUCGAGUAAUAUGACCGGAUUGCCUGGUUUCCAAAGAUACUAAAUGUUUCUUAGUUAGACGUGGUAUAUGGAAGAACUCCAACUUCUUGGUUCGAAGGUGGAAGCCGAAGGUCUGCGAUGACAAAAUUUUUAUAAGUUCGGCAGGAGAUAAGUUCGGUCAUAAAGUACAUUGUUACAUAGAAUUGAACGCCUACUCUCUUUCUACGCCAUCUAGUAGACUAUCUAAUUUACAAUCUUGUUGCGAAAAUUUCGCCGCUGUCAUUACUUGGUCGUAUACCAAGCUUACAGGAAUUUCCUUCCCGUCAGGUCCUUGCGGUCCAACUCAGGCCAUAUGGUUCGGAUCAAGUCUGGUAUAGCGUGUCUUCACCAUGGCCCAUGCCUCUCGUGCACCUUCACGGCAUGCAGACGUCUUCCAUAGCUCGAAGCAACACCGAGCACCCUUGAACAUAUCUACCAACCCCUCCAUACUUUCUGGAGGGACAUUGGAGGGCCAUAAGGCUUUGGCCAUAUUCUUCAUGGCCUUCCGGGCACGCUCGUGUAGCUUUGCCAAUUCCUCUAGAGCGUCGCUUUGCAGCCCGGACACUUCCUCCUCGGGGUGACUGGUCAACAUACCCGUAUCAACCAAAUUAUAACAUUCCGCAUUAUAUGAUUAUAUCAAUAAUCUGGACGGUUCACAAGUCAUACCGAAUAUGCCGCCCUUCAGCUUCUGGUUUUCCUGUUGUGCCUCCAAGAGUUGAGCCUUUAAGCUCUUUAUCUCUUCGUCCUGCUUCUUCACUUCUUCUUCUAGUUUUUUAUCUUUGCCAAAAUACAUUGGGGCACUCUUCAUUUCUUCAAGCUCGGAGACAACGACAUUUAGCUGUGUCCGGCUUGUCUCGAGCUCCUGGGACAAUGCACUAUUCUUCUCCUUGACAUAAACGAUCCUCAAAUCAGCCUUUUCCACCCGCUUUAAGUCUCGGGGGAUGCUAUCUAUAUACUAAGUUUAUUUAAAUUUAUACCUGUAUAUCUUUUGAGAACAGGCGAGCAACUCCUGUAAGUCCGUCCCGGGCAGCUCGGAUGUAUGCGCCCACGGUGCUGAGAGGGGUAAACUCCGGCUUUGUCAAAGUAGGGGCGCGCAGAGCUUCUUUUAGGUGCCGAUGAUUCAUCACACUUUCUGCUUCGGAGUUGGUGACGGACACCUCAUCCGGUUCUUGAUGGGGCAGAUGGGUCUGCGCCGCGUCAGCGUGCGCCCCAGUCCUAGUUGAUGUCUCCAGCGCCGAUUGGCUACGGCCCGACUGGCCGGGAUUUUGUUUACGGUCCGUCGAGGGGUUCCGGUAAGGCCCAUUGAUAACCCACAAGUAUAGGGGAUCGCAACAGUUUUCGAGAGUAGAGUAUUCAACCCAAAUUUAUUGAUUUGACACAAGGGGAGCCAAAGAAUAUUCUCAAGUAUUAGCAGCUGAGUUGUCAAUUCAACCACACUUGGAAACUUAGUAUCUGCAACAAAGUGUUUAGUAGCAAAGUAAUAUGAUAGUGGUGGUAACGGUAAAAAAAGUAAAGAUAGCAAAAGUAAUGUUUUUGGUAUUUUGUAGUGAUUGUAACAGUAGCAACGGAAAAGUAAAUAAGCGAGAACCAGUAUAUGGAAAACUCGUAGGCACCGGAUUAGUGAUGGAUAAUUAUGCCGGAUGCGGUUCGUCAUGUAACAGUCAUAACAUAGGGUGACAUAGAACUACACUACUAGGGCAAACCUUAUACACAGAAAUUUAGCAACAGCGCGGGUCAAAAAAGGGCGCUAGUGCUAGAUAGCAGUAGCGUUUGAGAAAAAACCGCGCUACAGAUACAACUUUAGCGGUAGCGCGUGUAGUGGCAAAAGCGCUACUACUAAUAUUCCCAUUGCUAGAAUGAUAGGCUACGCAUAGCAGUAGCGGGCUUGGAAGAAGCGCGCUACCGCUAGGGCAUAAGUAGUAGCGCGUUUCCUAAGAAGAGCGCUACUACUAACGGAAAUAAAAUAAGAUGAAAAACAAAUAGAAAAGUAAAUGAAAAUGAAAGAAAUAGAAAAAGGAGAAAGGAAAAAAUAAAAUGUAAAGAAAAAUAAAUGAAAAAGCGAAAAAACGGAGGAAGGCAUAGCAGUAGCGUGUGUUCGUAAGAGGCGCUAUAGCUAACGUAGCUGCAGCGCGUGUCCUAGACCCCCGCUAUAGAAACAGAAAAGGAAAAUAAAAAAUGGAAGAAAAUUACAUAGCUAUAGCAGCAGCACGUUUUGUAAAAACCGCUAUAGCUAUCUUAGCUAUAGCACGUUUUACCAAACGCGCUACCGCUAAGUUUGACUUAACCAAAAAACCGUUUCCCCCCGGGCACCACUUCUCCCCCAAAUCCCUCAACCCACACCUCGCACCGCCGUCUCCCCGAUUCGCUGUCGCCCCACUUCGCCGCAGUCUCCUGCCGACAUCGACGCCACCAGAGCCAUGCGCCGUCGACGCCACCGGAGCCGCCCCCAAUGCCACAGAACCGCGCGGCCUUGUCAACGCCACCGGAGCCGCCGUCGACGCCACCGGAUCCUUCCUCGCCACAACUGCCUCCCUCGCCGUCACCGGAGACGCCCCUGCCUCCCUCGCCACCACUGCCUCCCUCGCUGUCACCAGAGACGCCCCUGCUUCCCUCGCCACCACUGCCUCCCUCGCCACCACCGGAGCCAUCCUCUGUAAGCCCCCACCCCUCCUCUCUCUCUCUCAUGCAUAGGUUAGCUAGUUUAAUUAGGUUAAUUAUCUAGGUGAGGGAAAAAAUUUAGUUAGGGCUUUGACAGAGAAGUAGUUAGGUUAACUAGUUUAAUUAGGUUAAUUAUCUAGGUUAGUGCAAAAAUUUAGUUAGGGCUUUGACAGAGAGCUAGUCAGGUUAACUAGUUUAAUUAGGUUAAUUAUCUAGGUUAAUUAGUGCAAAAAUUUAUUUAGGGCUUUGACAGAGAACUAGCUGUGUUAACUAGUUUAAUUAGGGUUAAUUAUCUAGGUAAACUAGAUUAACUAACUAGGUUAAAUAGGUAGGUUAAUUAGGUUCAUUGGAUUAACAAGCUAGGUUAAGUUGGUUGGCUAGGUUAGAGGAAAAUUUUAUUUUAGAGCAUUACGUCAGAAGGGUUAGAGAAAUGGAGUUCCUUUGCAAUUUAAUUGGGUUUCGUCCUAGGCAGAGAAGGGUUAGAGAUAAUAAUGUGUGUUUGUGUGAGAGAGAGGAAUAGCUAGAUCGACAUAAUUUGGGUUCUGUCCUAGGCAGAGAAGUGUUUAGUGAGGUCAUUUUGCAAAGGUUUUUGAUUUUUGAAAAGACCACUAUUUUUCAAGGAAAAGAAUUUAGGCAAAUUUUAUUUUAAAGAUGAUCCCUUCCUAGACUUUUAUUGUUGAUUAUAUCUUUUCAUUGAAGUGGUCAUGUUAUAUCUUUUCAUUGAAGUUGUUCGAUUGUGCCCAAUUGGCUUUGUUGUUUCCAGGGAAUGAUGCUGAGUGGCCUAUGUUUUGCCGGAAUGUUGAUUCAUUUCUGUUCCGACAAAUUUCAGGUUCUCGAUUUGUCCACUUUUUAGCAAAGGUCAUGCCGAAAUUUUUCGUGAAUUUCGGCAUGACUUGUGCUACAAACCAGAACAUAUCGAGUGCCCGGGAUUUGCCGCACCAGGAAGUAGUCAACAUUCCUACAAAACAAUAGGCCUUUUUAUGUCAUUAUUCAUUUUAUUAGGUCUAGAAUUAAUUGACUAGAUUUAAUCAUAGGUAACAUGGCUAGCAAUGAUGAAGGACAGGGUUCUGGUGAUUGCGACGAUGUUUACCGGGCGGCAGACGAAUUUUUUAGCCUUACCGACGAUCAACCAAUGUUGUCGCUGGGCCCACCGGUGGCAUCGGGGACUGAGACCAACACGUAGAACGGUGCUGAGACUGAGACCGGCGCUGAGACUCAGACCGACAUCGAGACCGGCGCUGAGACUGAGACCGGUGCUGCAUCGGGGAGCGAAGCCGGUGUAGAACCAAAAGCAAAGAGGCAACGGGUUCCUAACAAACUCAGGAGUACUAGACUGGUGGUCACGGAGGUGGAUGACAGCAAUUUUGAGCCAAAGGCGCCCGAUGAAGCGCGCGCGUGCUACGGCAAUCAAAUAGGCUGCAUCGUACGGACAACCGCCACCAUCAACGAUGAGAAACUACAGAAGAUAGGAAAUAUGAGGAGCUCCCUCCUAAAGAAGUUUCACCACAUAUUCUUGUUCCCGGGCCGGAAUGAGAAGGAUAAUGAAGAUGCAGACGAGGACCCGAUAAUGAAGAAGAUAAACAAACACGCCAUGACCAAGUUUAGCGCCGCGUUGGCCGCUUGGAAAACUCGAGUGAAAGCAAAGAUCAUCGACAAGAAGGAACCCUACUCCGAGCUUGUAAAGGAUAAUCCGACAAUCACGGAAGAGCAGUUUCAAAUAUUCAAGGAGGCUUGCAAGGCCGAAGCUGCCAAAAAAAAGUCUAAGUACAUGAAGGGGCUUCAAGAGAGGAACAUUGGGAGCCACCACCUCGGAAGCCGUUGUUACGGCAGAAAGAGGUCCAAAUGGGCCAAGGAGGACGCGAAAGCCGCGAGUCUGGGCAUCCCAGACCCCUUGGCGGAUUUCACCGUCCCGCAGGAGCGUGAUGUCCUGAGGGCCCAGCACUGUUGGGACCCAGUGAAGAAGGUUUAGGAGACAACAUCGGUCAUUACGGAGUUCAUGAGACUAUUGGUAAUUUUAGUUUCUGAUCAAUUCGACUGCACACGUUAGUCAUAUUUGUAAACGAUCCUUGUGCCUUUUGCAGAGAGAGCAGCACCGGAUUGCGGCCGAAAGCGACUCACCGUCUGAGGCAUUGGCGAGGCCCAAGUGGGACACUCCAUUCAACCGGGCGUUGAACAUAUUGAAACGACAACCGGUGGAUACUCGACCGUCGUAUGGACGCGUGCACGGUGUCAGAGACGGCGCCACGUGGAAGAAGUACUACCGUGAGACCACGGAGGAGAGAAAGGAAAGACAGAGGUUAACUGAAGAAAACAUCGACAAGAAGGUUGAGAUUGCGGUUGAGAAGAAAUCAUCUCAGACAGUCGCAACAGCGGUAGCUGCCACAAAACAGGUGGUUGCAGAUUUGUCUACUUCCUUGAUGACAGGCGUUUUCACUUGGACAUGGCAAAAUAAAAAAAAUGCAGAGGACUUUCCCCUUGCUGACUUCUUGGGAGCACCUGCUCCCGCACCGGUUCCCGCACCUGCUCCCGCACCGGCUCCCGCACCUGCUCCCGCACCGGCUCCUGCACCGACUCCCGCACCGGACGUGCUCGGUGGUGCCUCGUCUUUGGCUGAGCUCGACGCCCUCACGGUAUAUGUCACACCGCCCCCCUUCAAUAUAAAUGUAUAAUCUCCCAUUUUAGUUGCCUUUCGGAUGUCUCACGUCGCAGACUUUUCUUUGCAGGCCGACGAAACCCCGUGCACCAUAUUGUACACCAUCGGCGAACAGAAGGUGGACGUGGGGAAGGCGACGACAAUGGAGCCGAAGGAACCACUAUUGCACAGCCGACCGAUCCCCCUGAACGUCUUCAAGGUUUCCGUGGCCAGUGUCAAACCGGGCCACGAGAAUUUGCCUCCUCUAAUACUAGUGGGGGAUGAUGACGAGACCCCGCGGCGGCUUGGUGAUUGUUGCAAUGGGUGGGUCCUGUCUUGGCCAAAGAGUCUGCUUCGUCUGGAGGCGGCCGGGAGCACACCCACGAGCACGCAGCCUCAGCAAGGUAUGAACAUCAACACCCCACCUACCCAAUUAGCAUCGGGUGUCGGGUUGGGUGAUAGCGGACGGGGUAAGGAGGAGGCUCCAUUAGUCGCUGAUGACAUCGCCAUGGAUGAGGAUGAGGAUGACAAUGGCGCUGAACAGUAUGUCUAUACUAGCGCCUCCUCAGGGUUUGAGCGUCAUGAGUCGGUGCCUGAAUUACCGUUUCAACGUAUUAUGGACGACCUUCCGGUAGUAAAGAAGUCUAGGAAGAGAGCAAGGAAAGGCAAAAAAGCUGAUUCUAUGAUCCAGCCGCCUCAGCAGCCUCGGCUUCAGGACCGUAUAGAUAUCCAUGAUGCGGAUAAAUGGCAUAUCCCCGGUCAACGAAUCCUACCUGCAACAGCGCUACGGGCCAGAUUCGGCAAUCUAAGGAGACUUCAUGACGAUGUGUUGCGGGUAGAGAAAGGCCUCAUCGCCUCGAAAGAUCCAGGAUACCCACUCUACGUGGUUAACGUUCCGUGGCAAAUGUCGUACGUCGACAGCUUCCCCGCGGAUAAGUUCUUCCUCCGAUUCGAUUACAUAUUCAACAUGUUUCACGUGAAGAAGCUGGAUUUUACGUUUGUCCGCCUUUAUGCCUUGCACAUGAACUACAUCAUUGGGGUUGAGCAGAUACGUCAUAUCUGUGUCGCUGACCCGUACUACAUGCACGAGGGCUUCCUGGGAGUCUACACAGAGCACCGUGAAUACGCGAGGGAUUACAUCGUAAGUUUCAUGCUCGCCAAUAAGGACAAGGAGGCGAUUCUCGUGCCUUAUCAUCCCGUGUAAGUCAUCCGCGCUGCUAUCCUUCCUUCGAUUUCAAUAAUUCAUUUGCAUGGUGGAGGCUAAUUAAUUUGAGGUGUACUUAUUUUGCGCAGCGGCGGGCGCGUCGUCCUCAUCAUCCUCUACCCCCGAUUCUCCCACGCUCUUUACUUGGACUCGUCGAAGAACAUUCACAAAAAGGAUUACACCCACAUCAAAGAUGUUCUCGACAGUGCUAUGUUUUACUACCAAGCAAGGGGUGGAGAGGUUAGGGACAAGAAGAGAAGGGGUGGCAGGGUCGCCUUCAGCCAUAAGACCGACUUCUGCUGCAUCUAGCAACCGAACGAUUCUCUUAAUGAUGGAUUCUAUGUCCUACACCACAUGUUGGAGUACAGACGGGAUCACCAGAACCUUCGCAUGUCACCUAGAUCUAGCGAUGCCCAUAUUCUGCAAUGGGCAAAGGACAUAGGAGAUAUCGAGGAUCAUCGACUUCGAGUUGAGUUCUAUAACAUCCAGCGCAAAGUUGCCCAAAUCAUCAUGAAGGAGGUCGUAGGAAAAACAGGGAUGUUCUACGGAGAAGGACAAAUGUCGCGGGAAGACGUCCGAACAUGGAUAGCCUCUCAGCGUCUCGACAUGAAGCCUUUCACUAAGCUCGAGGACUAUCUCCCUGACAUGUAUGGAUGGCACGACAUGGUGGAGUGAUUAUCGAUAUAUGACAAUGUGUCCGUUUAGUCCAUACUUUCUGUAUGACAAAACUUUGAGUUAUGCACGGUGAAACUUUAUUUGUGAUGUAAUUAAACCGUCCUCCUCCUCGACUAGCGAAAAUCACUCUAGUUAGGGCAUUUUGGGUACGAUGAACUUUGUUAUUUAUGCUUACGAUGUGUUGUUUCUAUUUUUGCCAAGUCUGUCUUUUUCUGUUGCUCAACUACAUAUGUUGCAUAUCAUCGACUCAUGUGACAAUGCAGGUGCAUAGAUCAUAGAUGGCAAAGAAGUGCUACACCAGGAGUAUAUAUAUGACAAGUGGCCGGAGUUUCAGGCCCAGGUGUACCGGUUUCCGGUUUCCGAGCGACAGGCAGUAGUUAGUUUAGGUUCACGCUAAUGCGAGAGAGGGAUACGAACUCAUGUACUCAAAGUGAUAGCUCUUCUUGCGUAUAUCAUUGUUUAGAUGGAUGAUGAUGUAUUUGCAAGUAAUCGAGACUUGUAUCGCUAUUUUCGAGAUUGAUGACGAGAGACCACUUUGUGUUGGAUGAUGAUUAUGAUGAUGACAUGAUUUGAUGAGACUAAUUGUAUGUAUAUGCUAUGAUUACAUUUGUAUGUGUAUGAUAUGCUAAAGAUUAUUGUAUAAAUCCUAUUCAAAUACAAAACAAAUACAAAACAAAUAUGCAGGAAAAAAAGUAAUAAAACUAGUAGUAGCGAGGGGAAAAAUUUUAGCAGUAGCGCCGCCUUACCAGCAGCGCUUCCCUGUAAACAGCGCUGCAGAUAAUAUCAGUAGCGCCCUUUUCUAAAGAGCGCUACAGCUAAGGGAGUCCCGGACUAGGGGGUGUCCGGAUAGCCGAACUAUCAUCAUCGGCCGGACUCCAAGACUAUGAAGAUACAAGAUUGAAGACUUCGUCCCGUGUCUGGAUGGGACUUUCCUUGGCGUGGAAGGCAAGCUUGGCGAUACGGAUAUGUAGAUCUCCUACCUUUGUAACCGACUCUGUGUAAUGCUAGCCCUCUCCGGUGUCUAUAUAAACCGGAUGGCCUUAGUCCAUAGGACGAACAACAAUCAUACCAUAGGCUAGCUUCUAGGGUUUAGCCUCCUUGAUCUCGUGGUAGAUCUACUCUUGUAACCCACAUCAUCAAUAUUAAUCAAGUAGGACGUAGGGUUUUACCUCCAUCAAGAAGGCCCGAACCUGGGUAAAAACAUCGUGUCCCCCGUCUCCUGUUACCAUCCGCCUAGACGCACAGUUCGGGACCCCCUACCCGAGAUCCGCCGGUUUUGACACCGACAUUGGUGCUUUCAUUGAGAGUUCCUCUGUGCCACCGCGAUCAGGAAGGAUGCCUUCUCCCGUCUUUAAAGACGACACCGUCGUCAAGAGAGCUUUGGCCGCCGGCCAAACUGUCCGGCUAGGUGGUUUUCUUAUGACCGCCUGUUCGGCCACCGCUCCGACAAUGACCUCUCAGGUCAUCAAAAGCGAUCUUCACGUCAGCCCGGAAUUCGCCGAGCAGUUAGAUCCGAUUGAGCUCUCCUCUAUAAAUGAGCUCUUGGAUCGCAUCGCCGCCCUGGGAGUCGCCACAGACUACGAUCAGAUUGGGCUUAAACCCGAUCUGAGAGAGAUUAACUCUCCUCAGGCCACCCACCACGUUGUCGUGGUAGAGGAACAAUGCGGCAACCCUUCUUCUACGUUGAAAACCAACUAUGUCCGGAUUCCCGAUCCCUCCAAGACGGAUUCCCGUGAAGGGACGGACGCUAAUCAAAUACUGAACUUAGAGUCAGGCAUCAGACUAGAUUCGUUGGAAAGCAUCCAGCAAGUCAAGCUUCCAAAUCCGGAAACUUCUUGGCCUUUGAGCCUCAGAUCAGGCGGGGUUCCGAACUUGAUUCCACCCGCCCACCCAAACAUAAGCGAUCUAUCUCAAAUACGGCAAGAGCCCGAUGAAACAGUACAUCAUUACUGGGCCAGAUUCCUCCUGGUUAUGAACAGGAUAAAGGACUGCUGCGAAGAAAGCGCGAUUUCAAUUUUCUGCAACAAUUGCACUGACAAGGGAAUCAUGAACGCCAUAAGUCAUCGCGAAGUUACACGCUUCAUCGACCUAGCGACUAUCGUACAAAAAUACUGUGCGGUAGAGAGUGCCAGGAACACCGAAACUAGGUUUUGGGACAGUCCGGCCUUGACCGCAACCCUAGUCCGAAGUAAAAGGGUGCGCCAUACUCAAGCACCUGGGUUAAAAACCAAAAAGCAAAGACCCCCUAAAGGGCAUGGAACCGUACUGGAGGGCUGGCUCAACGGACCCUGCAAAAUCCACAGUACGGAGGGCGCCACUCCAACACACAGCCUUCGAGCAUGUUGGAUACUACGACAGGUGGCCAAAAGUGGCGAAGGCUUUUUAGCCCCGGGCAAACAACCCAGCAGUACCGGUACGGUAUUAACAGUCUUCGAGACUUUCGCAUCAAAUAACAUGCGAAAACGAACAAUCUGCGGCCUCGCCGAAGUCUACCAAGUAGCAACAGCAAAUCCAUGGAGUGACACGGCUAUCACCUUCAACACCAGCGACGAACCUAAAUUCCGAACAGCUAGAGCACCAGCUGCAUUGGUCCUCAGUCCGAUAGUGGACGGCUUUCGCCUUACCAAGGUACUCAUGGAUGGCGGCAGCGGAUUGAACCUCAUCUACGAGGAAACCCUUCAAAAAAUGGAUAUUGACUGGAGCCGCAUCGAGCGAAGCAGCACAACCUUUAGAGGGAUAAUCCUUAGUCGAGAAGUACGCUUCACAGGAAAAAUCACACUAGAUGUAGUGUUCGGCUCACCGGACAAUUACAGGUCCGAGGAGGUCACGUUCCAAGUGGCCCCAUUCGGCAGCGGAUAUCACGCUUUGUUAGGGCGAGAGGCAUUCACAAUCUUCCAAGCUAUACCCCACUAUGGGUACAUGAAGCUCAAAAUGCCCGGACCCAAUGGGAUAAUCACUCUUGCCAGUGAUCCAGAUACAGCACUCCGCGCUGAAAAUAAGACAGCCGCACUGGCCCUAGAGGCAUUGUCCGAAGCCCUAGCGGCAGAGGAACUAACUACGCUGCGCUCCACGGUGGAUAGGGACGAUGUGAUACUCGAUAAGAGGUCCAAGUCCACCUCUUUUAAACCAGCAGACGAAAUAGUCAAAUUUCAGGUCCAUCCAACGGACCCCACAAAGAUGGCCUCCAUUGGGGCACAAUUAAGUCCUGAUGUAUAAGCCGCACUACGAGAAUUCCUUCGGGAAAAUUGGGACAUUUUUUCCUGGCACCCUUCAGACAUGCCAGGAAUCCCACGCAGGCUGGCAGAGCACAGCCUAAACAUCCUAAAAGGAUUCGAGUCGAUCAAACAAGCUCUUCGGCGAUUUUCCGAACCCAAAAGACAGGCAAUGGGAGAAGAGCUAGCCAAACUCUUAGAAGCCGGAUUCAUCAGAGAUAUAAAACAUCCGGACUAGCUAGCCAAUCUAGUAAUGGUACCAAAAAAGGAAAAAUCCUGGCGCCUCUGCGUUGAUUUUAAAGACCUUAACAAGGCCUGUCCAAAGGACCCUUUCCCCCUCCCUCGCAUCGACCAAAUCAUCGAUGCUACCGCAGGGCACGAUUCAUUGUGCUUCCUCGACGCAUACUCCGGAUACCAUCAAAUCAAGAUGGCGGAGAAAGGCCAGGCCGCAACGGCAUUCAUUACUCCAUAUGGGCCAUUCUGCUUCAACACAAUGCCCUUCGGACUCAAAAACGCCGGCGCAACAUAUCAGCGCAUGAUUCAAACAUGUCUGGCUACCCAGAUAGGCAAAACAGUAGAGGCAUACGUAGACGAUGUGGUCGUCAAGACCAAACACGUCGAAACUCUAGUAGAAGACUUGAGGGUGACAUUCAACAACCUCCGAGCAUAUGACAUUAAGCUCAAUCCAGAAAAAUGCGUCUUCGGCGUACCAGCCGGAAAGCUCUUUGGCUUCAUCGUAUCCGGUAGAGGAAUUGAAGCAAACCCGGCCAAAAUCCGAGCUCUGUCACAAUUGGAUAUUCCAAAAGACCUCAAGCAAAUACAAAAACUAACCGGAUGCGUAGCGGCCUUAAGUCGCUUCAUCUCCCGUUUGGGAGAAAAGGCUCUGCCCCUCUACCGCCUCCUCCGGCGCACCGAACAUUUCGAAUGGACGGAUGCUGCCACAGUCGGACUCAAAGAAAUAAAGGCCAUACUGGCAACAAAUCCGGUCCUGGCCGCGCCCAACCUGGGCGAACCUAUGUUAUUAUAUAUCGCAGCAACACAUCAAGUUGUCAGCGCGGUACUCGUCGUCGAGCGAGAGACAGAAGGGCACAGAUUCCCUCUUCAAAAACCAGUGUACUACGUAUCCACUGUUCUAACUCCAUGCAAGUCCCGGUACCGACAUUAUCAAAAGAUAUCAUAGCGGUGUUCAUGGCAUCCCAGAAGCUGCGACACUAGUUUCAAGAGUGUUCCAUAACGGUGGCCUCCGAAGUACCUCUCAACGAUAUUAUAAACAAUCGCGACGCAACGGGCAGGAUUGCAAAAUGGGCUAUUGAGCUCUUACCAUUUGACAUAACCUAUAAACCACAGCGAGCUAUAAAAUCGCAGGUUCUGGCCGACUUCGUCGCCGAAUGGACCGAAGCCGAACUCCCUAAAGAGUAUGGCGCAUACUCCAAUUGGAUCAUGCAUUUCGACGGAUCCAAAAUGUUGGUUGGCUUGGGGGCUGGCGUCGUUCUGACAUCCCCAACUGGAGACACAAUCCAAUACGUACUUCAAAUAAUGUACAUGGACUCCAAUAACGUAGCCGAAUACGAGGCCCUUCUACAUGGCCUCCGGAUGGCAAUCUCCAUGGGCAUUCAACGCCUAGAGGUGCGCGGGGAUUCAAACCUCGCAAUAUCCCAAGUAAAUGGAGACUUUAAUGCCAAAGAUCCAAAAAUGGCAGCUUACCGCAAUGCCGUCCUAAAAAUGUCAGCUCGGUUCGAAGGACUCGAAUUCCACCAUGUAGCCCGGGAUAAUAACCAGGCAGCAGACGUGUUAGCACGCAUCGGCGCGAAAAGAGACGCCGUCCCUCCAAACAUAUUCCUUGAAUGGCUCUUCAAGCCAUCCGUGUUAUGGGAAGAGGAGUCCGGAAAUAACAAUCUGGAGCCAGCUGCAUCACCUAACUCAGACCAUUCUGACACAAUCGGCGGCUCAGCCAACGAAAUAACACCUUCAGCUCACGAAAUAAUGGCAGUAAUUGCCCCGUGGACAGAACCAUUCCUAGCCUACUUAAUUCGGCAGGAACUUCCCGAAGACCAAAAUGAGGCCCGCUGCAUAGUUCGGCGAUCUAAAGCAUACAAGGUCCAUGAGGGAGAACUUUAUAAGAAAAGCACAACCGGAGUCCUUCAAAGGUGUAUCUCCGAAGAGGAGGGGCGGAAUCUCCUGGCCGAAAUUCAUGCCGGACUCGGCGGGCACCACGCUGCAGCCCGGGCACUCGUAGGCAAGGCCUUUCGUACAGGAUUUUAUUGGCCGAUAGCCCGGGCAGAUGCUCAGGACUUAGUCCAACGAUGCGUCGGUUGCCAGCUCUUUGCUAAUCAGAGCCACAUGCCACCCACCGCCCUCAAAACUAUACCCAUUACCUGGCCGUUCACAGUCUGGGGGCUUGACAUGGUUGGACCCCUUAAAGGGGGAACCCACAAGCACAAAUACUUAUUGGUCAUGGUGGACAAAUUCACCAAAUGGAUUGAGGCCAAACCGGUUAAAACGGCAGAAUCCGGACCGGUGAUAGACUUCCCAUCCGGGGUAGUACACCGUUUUGGCGUCCCGCACAACAUCAUCACUGAUAACGGCACGAACUUCACUGCCGACGAGGUUAAACUCUGGUGCAAAAACAUGGGCAUCAAGCUCGAUUACGCUUCAGUCUAUCACCCCCAAACUAACGGUCAAGUCGAGCGAGCAAAUGGUCUAAUCAUGAGCGGCAUCAAACCCAGACUAGUGCGGUCCCUCAAGGAAUCUAACACGCACUGGGUAGAGGAGCUCGACUCCAUACUCUGGGGGCUGCGGACCACGCCAAACCGAACUACUGGAUUCACACCAUUUUUCAUGGUGUAUGGCGUAGAGGCAGUUCUGCCUUGCGAUAUAAUUCAUGACUCACCUCGUGUGCGCAUGUACGAAGAAAGAGAAGCCGAGUUGGAUCGGCAGGACAGUUUGGACGCCUUAGAGGAGGAGCGGGACGUGGCAAAGGCUCGUUCCGCAUUCUAUCAGCAGCAGGCUCGAAGAUAUCAAAGCAGAGAAGUACGGGCCAAAACUUACAAUGUCGGCGAACUCGUUCUACGCCUACCGGACAAGAAAAAGGACAAACUUAAGCCCAAGUGGGAAGGUCCCUUCAUCAUCGACCAAGUCCUGACCGGCGGAGUAUACCGUCUACGUAAAGCAUCUGACAACCGACUCGAGCCGAACCCAUGGAACGCAGCCCGUCUCCGAAGAUUCUACGCCUAAACACCGGACUCAGAGUUCGUCUCACUCCCCCGUCCACCUUUUUAUAUUUUUUAUUUUCUCUUGUCCCCCUCCUUCUUCCCACUUUUUUUUCAAUACCUUUUAUAGGCUGAUUUGCGCUUUGUUCGCACACACUUGAUGUGCUCCUAGCACUCAUUAUACUUGGGGGCUUCUUUACCAGAAGCUUAUUAAUAUGGGCUUCACGCCCAAUACAUGUGUCAUACUUCCGCAUGUACCUUUUAUUCACCAUUAUAUGCAUCGAUAUGACUUAAGUUUUGGCCAAGCUGGGUUGCCUGGCUCCUGUGCUUACCCCUACGUUCCCGAUUGUUCGGCUAGGAGGUAAAGGGAGCACCUCUGCGAUUGUUACUGCUGGGUCAGCCGGAUGUGUACCUCAGACUGGGUGAAGCCGAAAGCUAGCGUUCUUAAGAGAAUAUUCGGUCGGUGACUUGAAAGAUGAUUUAUUACUUACUUAUUUAUAAGCCCCCAGAUGCUUUUUCUGCUAUUUUCGCAGUCCGACAUUGCACCUUAGGGCAUGCCUCCCAGGGAAAGGAACCCUUAACGGAACUAUUCUCCCUGGAAGAUGUUUCUUACUAACCAUGUAAUAUAACAUAACUAGUUGAGCACUUGUCUGAUAAAGCAAUUAUGACCCCGACGCCUUGUCUCCAUGCAUGCCCCGGUUCUUUUAUAACCGUAGGGGUAUUCGGACACACUCCGGACUGUUGGGUCCCGAGGUUGAAGCGAAACGGUCCGCAAAGACAAACGAUCUACAAUCCGGCUAGAAGGCAUCUUACAUGUCAUUUCAAAUCGUCAAACCGACUGAUUGUACUCCUCCUCAAUCCCAUCUAAUAGUCUGUCUAAUUUACAGUCCUGUUGGGAAUAUUUCGCGGCCAGUUCUACUUGGCCAUACAUCAAGCUCACAGGGAUCUCCUUCCCAUCAGGCCCCGCAGGUCCGACCUCGGCCAUGUGGUUUGGGUCAGCCUUCGGGUAGCGCGUCUUCACCAUGGCCCCGGCCUCCCUGGCGCCCUGACGGCAGGCCGAUAUCUUCCACAAACGGAGGCAUCACCGUGCUCCCUGGAGCUUCUCAGCAAGCUCACCAAGGCCCUCGGGUAGGGAGACGGAUGGCCAUAAAGCCUGAACGACGCCACUCAUCGCCCGCCGAACACGUUCAAACAAUUGCACCAGCUCGGGAAGUUGGUCACCUGUUGACCCAGGCAUUUCCUCCGCAGGGCGACCUAUGAGCACAGCUAAAGACAUAUUUCUGUCAAACGACUUCCUCGUCGAAUUCUUCUUUUCAAAGGAAUUUGCUCAAGCACUUACUAUAAAUGCCGCGACGAAGUCGCUGAUUCUCCUUCAAGGAGCUAGAUAGCUGGGCCCGAACACCUUUCAGCUCUUCUCCUAGCUGGGUGUGGGCAUCUUGGAGCUUGUUUCUCUCUUGCUGCACCUUCAUAAGCACCCUCUCACCAGCCUUUAGCUGACGCAGUAGCUGUUGCUUGUCCGGAUCUAGUCCGGCGCCCUCUGCAAUAUUAUUGUCAGAUUCACGCCACACUUUGUUAAUUAAUUAUCUUUUCAAAGUACGUCUUACCAGCGGGGGUCUCUGUGGCUCCCCUUGUGGCGGCCAGUGCGGCCUCAAGUUGGGCCUUGCACUCUUGGAGCUCCUGGGACAGAUGAGUAUUCUUCUCCGUAAGAUCCUGCAUAAAAAUUGAUCCUUAAAUCAGUUAUUUUAACCAUUUUGUGUCCCGGGGGCUACUGGCAUAUAUAACUAUUAAAAUUACUUACACGUAUGUCUUUCACAUACUGCUCCGUGGCUCUGGUUAACCCAUCUUGAGCGGCACGGAGGUGCGCGUUUCCCGCAUCAAAGCAUUUAACGCCUCUGGGGAGAAACACGCGUCACAAAGAAUUGUCCGGCGACGCCUGUGAUUCAUGGCGCUCUCCACCUCAGACCGGGUGGCGGAUAGCCUGUUGGCAUCCUCCGUCGGAGGAGCGUCCGACUCAUGCCUUGUAUUCGCCUCCCCUUCCGGGCCAUGCGUUGGAGCAUGGCUGGCGGAUGCUUGAUUGGCAACCUCUCCGGACACUGUCCGGUGAGCGCUCUUUCUAGAAAAGUUAUGAGCAUUAAUAUACCUCCUGGGAAUCCUUCCCUUAAAAAAUAGCGGUGCUCCGUACCGUUGCGGCGACGUUUCAGUUCGCGUCGCACUCCUCUUCCGCCUGCUGGGCCGGACUGACCCUUGUUGGCCGGUCGCCGCGGGCUCGAUUUCCCGCCGUAAAGGCGCUUCCUGCCGAACACUAUUGGUGCACGGUGGUCAGAACUAAGCAUUAUCUAUGCUGAGCUGGUGGUACACCCCGUCGAUCAGUUCCACCGCUAAGUCCGGAUCCUCUUCGGAGGCCGGAUCAAGGGACCUUUCUGGGUCUUCGGGUUGUGGGGCUGGGCUUUUUAUGCCCUCCACAUCCCGACGCAGUUCCUGUGUCAAAAUCAUACAAUAAGACAAUUGCCUUUAAAGGCACGGUUCAGAUAUGCAUGCGACCGCUUACCCAGCUCCGAGGGUUGUUCAUGGAAAAUCCGUUCAGAGGAUUCGUGUGGAGGAAGUCCUCCUUCUCCCCCUUGUACAAGCCAGACAGGAUCUUCACCAGAUCGUCGGCCGAGCCAGGUCCCUUGCGGCUGUGACGGGUGGCGUCGUCGUCUCCGUUGAAGUCCCACAUGGGGUGGCCCCUAUAUUGGAGCGGCUGCACCCCACGCAUAAUGCAUGUGGCCAUGACUCCGAUCAUGAUUAAUCCGGAAUGGGCUAGCAGCCGUAUCCGGCCCAUCAAGUAAUGGACGCUACUAUCAUCUUCUCGUUGAGGGCUCCGUGGGCGCCAACUUAGGCGUUUCUUCAGGGGAGCGUUGCUGAACUCCGGAAGGCCGAUCCGGACUGGAUCCGGCAGCGGAGCGUCCUCCAUAUAAAACCACUCCGAAGGCCAAUCUUCGGACGCCUUCUUCGGGGUCCCGGACAGGUAUCCGGUCCCGACGAUGCGCCAUAUUUCGGCUCCGCCCACUUGAUAUAUCGACCCCUCAUGAGAGCGGUGUACGAGGCAGAACAGCCUCUUGCACAUCGCAAAAUGGGGCUCAAUGCCCAAGAACAGCUCACACAGAGCUACGAAGCCCGUGAUGUGCAAAAUGGAGGCAGGUGUAAGGUGAUGAAGCUGGAGUCCGUAGAACUCCAGGAGCCCCCGGAGAAACGGAUGUAUAGGAAAUCCGAGUCCCCUUAUUAAGUAGGAGACGAAGCACACCCGCUCUCCUUUAGAGGGAUUGGGGGCGCUCUCCGCCUGCUUCCCACCUUUGUAGGUGGCCAGUCCGGCUCGAACCGGAACCAUGAAGGCCGGGGGAAGAUAUCCCUCUGCUUGGAGCGUCACUAACUCGCUGUGCGGGACUGAGCAUCUCCUCCAAUCUCCUGGCUUAGGGCUGGGAGCGCGAGAAGAGGAGCCGCGUCGACUGUCCAUGUUGGAAUGGGUUUGGUGUCAGAUGCGCCUCGAUGAGUGCUUGCGGAAGGAGGAUGAUGCAAUUUGGAUCUGGAUCCUCGCCUCUCUUAUAGGCAGCUUAUUUGCGCAGCUAGGGGGUAAAACAUAAAAAUACCUUGGCUUUUCGCAUUCGUGCGACGCGUGGAAGAAGACCAUUAUUGGACGCGGAAGCCAAGGAGCGCAGCAUUUAUGAAGCAACCGGACACUAUCCGGCAAACACAUGGAGCAUGAAGAAGAACCCGCCUUGCAAACGCCGAAGACAACAUAUGCGCCAGAUUCAUCGUUAUUGAAGCCUGGUUCGGGGGCUACUGAGGGAGUCCCAGACUAGGGGGUGUCCGGAUAGCCGAACUAUCAUCAUCGGCCGAACUCCAAGACUAUGAAGAUACAAGAUUGAAGACUUCGUCCCGUGUCCGGAUGGGACUUUCCUUGGCGUGGAAGGCAAGCUUGGCGAUACGGAUAUGUAGAUCUCCUACCUUUGUAACCGAUUCUGUGUAACCCUAGCCCUCUCCGGUGUCUAUAUAAACCGGAUGGCCUUAGUCCAUAGGACGAACAACAAUCAUACCAUAGGCUAGCUUCUAGGGUUUAGCCUCCUUGAUCUCGUGGUAGAUCUACUCUUGUAACCCACAUCAUCAAUAUUAAUCAAGCAGGACGUAGGGUUUUACCUCCAUCAAGAGGGCCCGAAACUGGGUAAAAACAUCAUUUCCCUCGUCUCCUGUUACCAUCCGCCUAGACGCACAGUUCGGGACCCCCUACCCGAGAUCCGCUGGUUUUGACACCGACAACAGCUAUUCAUGUAUAGCAGUAGCGUGGGACAACAGGCGCUACUGCUAUAUGUUAGCUGUAGCGCCUUAUUAGUAGCACCAUUCCCCGCGCUACUGAGAGGCCCAAAACCCGCGCUGCUGCUAGGCUUUUCCCUAGUAGUGCUAGCUCCAGUUCGUCAAUGUAAUGUAGGCAUGUAUUCCAUAUAUAGUCAUACGUGCUUAUGGAAAAGAACUUGCAUGACAUCUUUUGUCCUACCCUCUCGUGGCAGCGGGGUCCUAUUGGAAACUAAGGGAUAUUAAGGCCUCCUUUUAAUAGAGAAUUGGAACAAAGCAUUAGCACAUAGUGAAUACAUGAACUCCUCAAACUAUGGUCAUCACCGGGAGUGGUCCCGAUUAUUGUCACUUCGGGGUUGCCGGAUCAUAACGCAUAGUAGGUGACUAUAGACUUGCAAGAUAGGAUCAAGAACACACAUAUAUUCAUGAAAACAUAAUAGGUUCAGAUCUGAAAUCAUGGCACUCGAGCCCUAGUGACAAGCAUUAAGCAUAGGAAAGUCAUAGCAACAUCAAUCUCAGAACAUAGUGGAUACUAGGGAUCAAACCCUAACAAAACUAACUCGAUUACAUGAUAAAUCUCAUCCAACCCAUCACCUUCCAGCAAGCCUACGAUGGAAUUACUCACGCACGACGGUGAGCAUCAUGAAAUUGGUGAUGGAGGAUGGUUGAUGAUGACGACGGCGACGAAUCCCCCUCUCCGGAGCCCCGAACGGACUCCAGAUCAACCCUCCCAAGAGAGAUUAGGGCUUGUUGGCGGCUCCGUAUCGUAAAACAUGAUGAUUUCUUCUCUCUUAUUUUUUUCUCCCCGAAAGCCAAUAUAUGGAGUUGGAGUUGGCGUCGGAGGGCCACCAGGGGGCCCACGAGGUAGGGGGACGCGCCCAGGGGGGGCGCCCCCACCCUCGUGAGCAGGGUGUGGGCCCCCCUGGUCUUCAUCUUUGGCAAGGAUUUUUUAUUGUUUUUUCUAAGGUGUUCCGUGGAGUUUCAGGUCAUUCCGAGAACUUUUAUUUUCUGCACAUAAAACAACACCAUGGCAAUUCUGCUGAAAACAGCGUCAGUCCGGGGUAGUUCCAUUCAAAUCAUACAAGUUAGAGUCCAAAACAAGGGCAAAAGUGUUUGGAAAAGUAGAUACGACGGAGAUGUAUCAACUCCCCCAAUCUUAAACCCUUGCUUGUCCUCAAGCAAUUCAGUUGACAAACUGAAAGAGAAAAAGAAAAACUUUUACAAACUCUGUUUGCUCUUGUUGUUGUAAACAUGAAAAGUCAACAUUCGAGUUUCGGCAGAUAUUAUGAACUAACCAUACUCACAAUAACACGUAGGUCUCACAAUUACCCAUAUCAAUAACAUAAUCAGCUAGCAAGCUAUAAUAAUAAAACUCGGAUGACAACAUUUCCUUAAAAUAAUCAUAACAUGAUAUAACAAAAUGGUAUCUCGCUAGCCCUUUUUGAGACCGCAAAACAUAAAUGCAGAGCACCUUUAAAGAUCAAGGACUGACUAAACAUUGUAAUUCAUGGUAAAAGAGAUCCAGUCAAGUCAUACCUAAUAUAAACCAAUUAUAAUGAAUGCAAACGACAGUGUGCUCUCCAGCAGGUGCUUUUAAUAAGAAGGGUGAUGACUCAACAUAAAAGUAAAUGGAUAGUCCCUUCUCAUAGGGAAGCAGGGAUUUGUAGAGGUGCCAGAGCUCGGUUUUGAAAUAGAGAUAAAUUAUAUUUUGAGCGGCAUACUCUCAUUUUCAACAUAACAACUAAAAGACGAUAAUAUCUUCCAUGCUAAACAGAUUAUAGGCGGUUCCCAAACAGAAUGGUAAGGUUUAUACUCCCCCUCCUCCACAAGCAUCAAUCCAUGGCUUGCUCGAAACAACGAGUGCCUCCAACAUUCAAUGGGUCUCGGGGGAGUUUUGUUUGCAGUUAUUUUGAUUUAGUUUGCAUAAAGCAUGGGACUGGGCAUCCCGGAUACCAGCCAUUUUCUCGUGAAUGAGGAGUGGAGUCCACUCCUCUUGAGAAUAACCCGCCUAACACGGAAGAUAAGGGCAGCUCUAGUUGAAUAUGAGCUAUUCGAGCAUGCAAAACAGAAUGUUUAUUUGAAGGUUUAGAGUUUGGCACAUACAAAUUUACUUGGAACGGCAGGUAAAUACCGCAUAUAGGUAGGUAUAGUGGACUCAUAUGGAACAACUUUGGGGUUUAAGGAGUUUGGAUGCACAAACAGUAUUCCCGCUUAGUACAGGUGAAGGCUAGCAAAAGACUGGGAAGCGACCAACUGAGAGAGCGACAACAGUCGUGAACAUGCAUUAAAAUUAAUUUACACCGAAUACAAGCGUGAGUAGGAUAUAAUCCACCAUGAACAUAAAUAUCAUGAAGGCUAUGUUGAUUUGAUUCAUCUACAUGUGUGAACAUGUGCCAAGUCGAGUCACUCAAUUCAUUUAAAGGAGGAUACCAUCCCAUCAUACCACAUCAUAAUCAUUCUAAUAGCAUGUUGGCACGCAAAGUAAACCAUUAUAACUCAUAGCUAAUCAAGCAUGGCAUAAGCAACUAUAAUCUCUAAAUGUUAUUGCAAAGAUGUUUACUUCAUAAUUGCUAACUCAGGAACGAUGAAUCAUCAUAUUUACAAAAACAACAGAGGUCGAGUUCAUACCAGCUUUUCACAUCCCAAUAAGUCCAUCAUAUAUCAUCAUUAUUGCCUUUCACUUGCACGACCGAACGACGUGUAUAAUAAUAAGAGUGCACGUGCAUUGGACUAAGCUGGAAUCUGCAAGCAUUCAAUUCAAGAGAGAAGACAAGCAAUAUGGGCUCUAAGUUAAAUAAACAAUCAUGCAUAUAAGAGCCACUAAGCAUUUUAAACAUGGUCUUCUCAACCCCCAAGGAAAAGAAAAUAAAACUAUUUACACAGGAAAGCUCCCAACAAGCAAAAGAAGAACAGGAAAUAUUUUUGGGGUUUCUUUUUAAUUUCUAUAGCAAAGAAAUAAACUACUACUAAUUUUUUUUGUUUUUUUCUUAAGGUUUAUUAAACAUACAAGAAGAAAGCAGGAAAAAGGAAAUAAACUAGCAUGGAUAUUACAGUGAAAGAGUAUGAGCACUGACAUCUAGCAAUGAGUGUGUGUGUGUGAACAUGAAUGUAAUGUCGGUGGGAAAUACGUACUCCCCCAAGCUUAGGCUUUUGGCCUAAGUUGGUCUAUUGCCAGGGAUAGCCUGGCGGAUACCCGUAGGUGAAGCUGGGGUCAUACUGCGAUGCAGAAGGCUCCGACUGCCACUGGCUGGCAACCUCCUCUGGAUCCCAAGAAUAAACAGAUAGUCCUGGAGGCUCAUCUUGUGGCUCCGGUUCUGGGGCUGGUGCAGGAUUCCGAUAGGCUUGAACAGCCGACCACGGAACGAUGUGAGGACCUGCAGAUAAGUUAAACAAAGAAGAGGCAGGCAAAGUAAUAGUCUCAGGGUGAUAUUUAUCAAAGUAUAAUUUGUACUUGAGCUCCCCUUCGCGACUCUUAACAAGAAAGUCAUGCGCUAUCAUACUCUUAUAAUCUAAAUAAACACGGGGCAAUGCUGUUUCUUCUUUCUCCUCAUGCCUAAUAGGUAUUUCAAAAUGUUCAGCUAGGCAUGAAGCAUAAAUGCCUCCAAAGAUGGGGCCCUUAGUACGGUUCAGACUUAACCGUCUAGCAACAAUUCCACCCAUACUAACAGAGUUAUUGCGGUAUAAACCAUGGAACAAAAUGAUAAUAUCAGGAAUACUAAGGUUCCCACAGUUCCCGCGUCCAAUCAAGCAACGACUAGGAAAUAAGGCAAAGUAGCGUAAAACAGGAAAAUGUAUGCUAGUGAUCCUACUAGCAUCAGAAACCUUCCUGGUUUCUCCCACAUUGAUAGUGUUAAUAAAAGCUUCUCCUUCGUUACGGUGGGGUUCAUCUAAGGUGCCCUCAAAGGGUAUUCUGCAAACCUCGCAGAAUUCAGCUAAUGUCAUCUCUUUAACAAUGUCAAAUAAAUGAAACUCUACCGUUGGAGGUGAUUUCUUAGGGAAAAACUAGAAGUUUUGCACAAAAGUAUUUGUGAGUAAGAGAUACUGAUGACGUUGGUCGUGGAGGAAGUUGGUGAGGCCAGCGUUCUCAAUCAAUAAAUAGAAAUCCUCAUAAAUCCCGGCUCUCCUCAAGAAGUCAUCGGAAGGCCAUUCACGCGGCCUGACCUCCGCGGUGCGGGGCAAAUUAAAUUUGGGCUUCUGCUCUUCUUCCUUUUGUUUUUCCUUAGAGCUUCGGCUCGACGAGCCCCUCAAAAGUCUCUUCAUUAUUUCUGAAACAAUCUGAAAUUUUUAGUAACUUCAAAUAAAAGUGAACCAACCUCAAUAAAAUUGAUAGCAACCACUCCCAUAAAGCAUUAGAACUACUUGGAACCAUAUAAAUUUGACAUGCAAGCUCAAGAACAUGGUCACCUAUGCAGCACAAAUUUGCAAUGAAUAAAGCACUAGAACAAAAACUAAUUGGACCAAUGGAGGAAUCACAUACCAAGGAACAAUCUCCCCAAGCAGUUUUGCGAGAGGUGCUUUGAGCAAGGAGAUCAAAAAUCACAACAACAGGGGCUGGAACUCGUGCUUGAGUUGGUUUUUCGUGUUUGUGUGGAGUAGAGGAAGAAGAUGGGUGCAGGGAUAAGUGGAGGAGGGCCACCAUGGGCCCACGAGGCAGGGGGGCGCGCCCAGGGGGGUAGGGCGCGCCCUCCACCCUCGUGACCAGGUGGCAGCUCCCCCCGUGGUAAAUUUUUGCACAGUAAAUCCUCAAAUAUUCCCGAAAAAAUCAUAUUAAAUUGGCAUGGCAUUUUGAGGACUUUUAUUUUUGGGAUAUUUUUAUAUUGCACGGAUAAGUCAGGAGACAGACAGAAAAAAAAUACUAUUUUACUUUAUUUCUACUAAAUAACAGAAAAUAUAAAGAGGAUACAGAAGGUUGUGCUUCUAGUUUCAUCCAUCUCGUGAUCAUCAAAAUGAACCCACUAACAAGGUUGAUCAAGUCUUGUUAACAAACUCAUUCCGAAUAAUCACGGAACCAGAGAAAUUUCGAAUGACACUAGGUUACCUCAACGGGUAUAUGAAAAUCCCCAACAAUUAGAAUAUCAUACUUUUUCUUGACAGUAGGGAGAGGAAAUUCAAAACCUCCAAAUAUAAUCGAUGGAAUUUUUCCAAUAGAGUUGAUACUAUAAACUUGAGGUUGUUUCCUUGGAAAAUGUACCGUGUGCUCAUUUCCAUUAACAUGAAAAGUGACAUUGCCUUUGGUGCAAUCAAUAACAGCCCCUGCAGUAUUAAGGAAAGGUCUUCCAAGAAUAAUAGACAUACUAUCAUCCUCGGGAAUAUCAAUAAUAACAAAGUCCGUUAAAAUAGUGAUGUUUGCAACCACAACAGGCACAUCCUCACAAAUACCGACAGGUAUAGCAGUUGAUUUAUUAGCCAUUUGCAAAGAUAUUUCAGUAGGUGUCAACUUAUUCAAGUCAAGUCUACGAUAUAAAGAGAGAGGCAUAACACUGACACCGGCUCCAAGAUCACAUAAAGCGGUUUUAACAUAAUUUCUCUUAAUGGAGCAUGGUAUAGUAGGUACUCCUGGAUCUCCAAGUUUCUUUGGUAUUCCACCCUUAAAAGUAUAAUUAGCAAGCAUGGUGGAAAUUUCAGCUUCAGGUAUUUCUUUUAUUAGUAAUGAUAUCCUUCAUAUACUUAGCAUAAGGAUUUGUUUUGAGCACAUCAGUUAAUCACAUACGCAGAAAGAUAGGUCUAAUCAUUUUAGCAAAGCGCUCAAAAUCCUCAUCAUCCUUUUUCUUGGAUGGUUUUGGAGGAAAAGGCAUGGGUUUCUGAACCCAUGGUUCCCUUUCUUUACCAUGUUUCCUAGCAACGAAGUCUCUUUUAUCAUAACGUUGAUUCCUUGAUUGUGGGUUAUCAAGAUCAACAACAGGUUCAACUUCUACAUCAUUAUCAUUACUAGGUUGAGCAUCAACAUGAACAUUAUCAUUAACAUUAUCACUAGGUUCAUGUUCAUCACCUGAUUGUGUUUCAGCAUCAGAAAUAGAGAUAUCAUUCGGAUUCUCAGGUGGUUCAGCAAUAGGUUCACUAGAAGUUUGCAAAUUCCUACCAUUUUUCAUUUUCUUCCUCUUAGAAGAACUGUGCACAUCAAUAUUAUUUCUCUGAGAAUCUUGCUCGAUUCUCUUAGGGUGGCCUUCAGGAUACAAAGGUUCCUGAGUCAUUCUGCCAGUUCUAGUAGCCACUCUAACAGCAUAAUCAUUUUUCUUACUAUUUCAUUUCAUCAAGCACUUCUUUCUGAGCAUUAAGUACUUGUUCUACUUGAGUGGUAACCAUAGAAGCAUGUUUGCUAACAAGUUUAAGUUCACCUCUAAUAUCAGCCAUAUAAUCACCCAAGCAUUUAAUCAUAAAGGUAUUAUGUUUUAAUUGUCUACCAAAAUAAGCAUUAAAGUCAUCUUGCUUAAACAUAAAGUCAUCAAACUCAUCCAAGCACUGACUAGCAAUUUUAGUAGGAGGGACUUCAGCUUUAUCAUAUCUAUAGAGAGAAUUUACCUUUACUACCUGUGUCGGGAUAUCGGGAGGUUCUUCAGUAAAUAAGUAAUUGAGAUCAUAUACUUCUUCAACAGGCGGUAAAUGAAGACCAUGUAUUUCUUCAAUAGGAGGUAAAUUCUUAACUUCUUCAGCUUUAAUACCUUUUUCUUUCAUAGAUUUCUUUGCCUCUUGCAUAUCUUCGAGACUGAGAAAUAGAACACCUCUCUUCUUCAGAGUUGGUUUAGGAAUAGGCUCAGUAAUGGGCUCUGGAACUGGCUCAGGAGGUGGCUCAGGAGGUGCCCAAUUAUUUUCAUUUGUCAGCAUAUUGUUCAAUAGAAUUUCAGCUUGAUCCGGUGUUCUUUCCCUGAAAAGAGAACCAGCACAACUAUCCAGGUAAUCUCUGGAAGCAUCAGUUAUUCCAUUAUAAAAGAUAUCAAGUAUUUCAGGUUUCUUAAGAGGAUGAUCAGGCAAAUCAUUAAGUAACUUGAGAAGCCUCCCCCAAGCUUGUGGGAGACUCUCUUCUUCAAUUUGCACGAAGUUGUAUAUUUCCCUCAAAGCAGCUUGUUUCUUAUGAGCAGGGAAAUAUUUAGCAGAGAAGUAAUAAAUCAUAUCCUGGGGACUUUGCACACAACCAGGAUCAAGAGAAUUAAACCAUAUCUUAGCAUCACCCUUUAAUGAGAACGGAAAUAUUUUGAGUAAAUAAAGGUAGCGUGAUCUCUCAUUAUUAGUAAACAGGGUAGCUAUAUCAUUUAACUUAGUAAGAUGUGCGACAACAGUUUCAGAUUCAUAGCCAUAAAAAGGAUCAGAUUCAACCAAAGUAAUUAUAUCUGGAUCAACAGAAAAAUCAUAAUAAUCCUUAUCAGGAACACAAAUAGGUGAAGUAGCAAAAGCAGGGUCGGGUCUCAUUCUAUCUCUAAAAGAUUCUUUACUCCAUUUAACUAGUAACCUCUUAAGUUCAUAUCUAUCCUGGCAAGCAAAAAUAGCGGCAGAAGAUUCUGCAUCAAAAAGAUAACCCUUAGGAAUAGAAGGCAUAUUUUCAUCAUCACUAUCAACAUCGUAUUUAGGUGCAAUAAUUUCUCUUUCUCUAGACCUAGCAAUUUGCUCAUCAAGAAAUUCACCAAGGGGCAUAGUAGUAUCAAGCAUAGAAGUAGUUUCAUCAUAAGUAUCAUGCAUAGCAGAAGUGGCAUCAUCAAUAACAUGUGACAUAUCACAAUGAAUAGCAGUAACAGGUUUAGGUGUCGCAAGCUUACUUAUAACAGAAGGAGAAUCUAGUGCAAGGCUAGAUGGCAGUUCCUUACCUCCCCUCGUAGUUGAGGGCAAAAUAGUAGUUCGAUCGUCUUUCAAGUUCUUCAUAGUGUCCAACAGAUAUAUAAAUCCCAAGUGACUCAAAGAAUAGAGCUAUGCUCCCCGGCAACAUCGCCAGAAAAAGGUCUUGAUAACCAACAAGUAUAGGGGAUCGCAACAGUUUUCGAGGGUAGAGUAUUCAACCCAAAUUUAUUGAUUCGACACAAGGGGAGCCAUAGAAUAUUCUCAAGUAUUAGCAGCUGAGUUGUCAAUUCAACCACACCUGGAAACUUAGUAUCUGCAGCAAAGUGUUUAGUAGCAAAGUAAUAUGAUAGUGGUGGUAACGGUAACAAAAGUAAAGACAACAAAAGUAAUGUUUUUGGUAUUUUGUAGUGAUUGUAACAGUAGCAACGGAAAAGUAAAUAAGUGAGAACCAGUAUAUGGAAAACUCGUAGGCACCAGACUAGUGAUGGAUAAUUAUGCCGGAUGCGGUUCAUCAUGUAACAGUCAUAACAUAGGGUGACAUAGAACUAGCUCCAGUUCAUCAAUAUAAUGUAGGCAUGUAUUCCGUAUAUAGUCAUACGUGCUUAUGGAAAAGAACUUGCAUGACAUCUUUUGUCCUACCCUCCCGUGGCAGCGGGGUCCUAUUGGAAACUAAGGGAUAUUAAGGCCUCCUUUUAAUAUAGAACCGAAACAAAGCAUUAGCACAUAGUGAAUACAUGAACUCCUCCAACUAUGGUCAUCACCGGGAGUGGUCCCGAUUAUUGUCACUUCGGGGUUGCCGGAUCAUAACGCAUAGUAGGUGACUAUAGACUUGCAAGAUAGGAUCAAGAACACACAUAUAUUCAUGAAAACAUAAUAGGUUCAGAUCUGAAAUCAUGGCACUCGGGCCCUAGUGACAAGCAUUAAGCAUAGGAAAGUCAUAGCAACAUCAAUCUCAGAACAUAGUGGAUACUAGGGAUCAAACCCUAACAAAACUAACUCGAUUACAUGAUAAAUAUCAUCCAACCCAUCACCGUCCAGCAAGCCUAUGAUGGAAUUACUCACGCACGGCGGUGAGCAUCAUGAUAUUGGUGAUGGAGGAUGGUUGAUGAUGACGACGGCGACGAAUCCCCCUCUCCGAAGCCCGGAACGGACUCCAGAUCAGCCCUCCCGAGAGAGAUUAGGGCUUGGCGGCGGCUCCGUGUCAUAAAACGCGAUGAUUUCUUCUCUCUGAUUUUUUCUCCCCGAAAGCCAAUAUAUGGAGUUGGAGUUGGCGUCGGAGGGCCACCAGGGGGCCCACGAGGUAGGGGGCGCGCCCAGGGGGGCGCCCCCACCCUCGUGAGCAGGGUGUGGGCCCCCUGGUCUUCAUCUUUGGCAAGGAUUUUUUAUUGUUUUUUCUAAGGUGUUCCGUGGAGUUUCAGGUCAUUCUGAGAACUUUUAUUUUCUGCACAUAAAACAACACCUUGGCAAUUCUGCUGAAAACAGCAUCAGUUCGGGUUAGUUCCAUUCAAAUCAUACAAGUUAGAGUCCAAAACAAGGGCAAAAGUGUUUGGAAAAGUAGAUACGACGGAGACGUAUCACCCAUGAAGGCCCAUGAAGGCCCAUGAAGGCCCAUUAAUCCCCUGGGGGGUUCCGGUAACCUCCCGAUACUCCGGAAAAUGUCUGAACCUUUCCGGUGCCCGAACAUAACCUUCCAAUAUAUCAAUCUUUAUAUCUCAACCUUUUCAAGACUCCUUGUCAUGUCCGUGAUCUCAUCCGGGACUCUGAACAAACUUCGGUCAUCAAAAACACAUAACUCUUAAUACAAAUCAUCACCGAACGUUAAGCCUGCGGACCCAAAGGGUUCGAGAACUAUGCAGACAUGUUUGAGACACAUCUCAGAUCAAUAACCAAUAGAGGAACCUAGAUGCUCAUAUUGGCUCCUACAUAUUUUAUGAAGAUCUUUAUCGGUCAAACCGCACAACAACAUACGUUGUUCCCUUCGCAAUCGGUAUGUUACUUGCCCGAGAUACGAUCGUCCGUAUCAUCAUACCUAGUUCAAUCUCAUUACCUACAAGUCUCUUUACUCGUUCCAUAAUGCUUCAUCCCGCAACUAACUCAUUAGUCACUUUGCUUGCAAGGCUUAUAGUGAUGAGCAUUACCGAGAGGGCCCAGAGAUACCUCUCCGAUACAUAGAGUGACACAUCCCAAUCUUGGUCUAUGCCAACCCAACAAACACCUUCCGAGACACAUGUAGAGCAUCUUUAUAAUCACCCAAUUACGUUGUGACAUUUGAUAGCACACAAGGUGUUCCUCCGGAAUUCGGGAGUUGCAUAAUCUCAUAGUUAGAGGAAUAUGUAUAAGUCAUGAAGAAAGCAGUAGCAAUAAAACUGUGAUGAUCAUAAUGCUAAGCUAACGGAUGAGUCUUAUCCAUCACAUCAUUCUCUAAUGAUGUGAUCCCGUUCAUCAAAUAACAACACAUUUCUAUGGUUAGGAAACAUAACCAUGUUUGAUUAACAAGCUAGUCAAGUAGAGGCAUACUAGGGACACUAUGUUUUGUCUAUGUAUUCACACAUGUACUAAGUUUCUGGUUAAUACAAUUCUAGCAUGAAUAAUAAACAUUUAUUAUGAUAUAAGGAAAUAUAAAUAAUAACUUUAUUAUUUCUUCUAGGGCAUAUUUACUUUAGUCUCCCACUUGCACUAGAGUCAUUAAUCUAGUUCACAUCGUCAUGUGAUUUAACACCAAUAGUUCACAUCUGUAUGUGAUUAACACCCAUAGUUCACAUCGCCAUGUGACCAACAACCAAAGGGUUUACUAGAGUCAAUAAUCUAGUUUACAUCGCUAUGUGAUUAACACCCAAAGAGUACUAAGGUGUGAUCAUGUUUUGCUUGUGAGAUAAGUUUAGUCAACGGGUCCGCUAAAUUCAGAGCCAUAUGUAUUUUGCAAAUUUUCUAUGUAUACAAUGCUCUGCAUGGGGCUACUCUAGCUAAUUUCUCCCACUUUCAAUAUGUAUCUAGAUUGAGACUCAUAGUCAUAUGGAUUGGUGUAAAGCUUACAUUGACGUAACUCUUUACGACGAACUCUUUUUCACCUCCAUAACCGAGAAAUACUUCCUUAGUCCUCUUAGGUAACUAAGGAUAAAUUUGACCGCUAUACAGUGAUCCACUCCUAGAUCACUAUCGUAUCCCCUUGCCAAACUCAUAGCAAGGCACACAACCGGUCUGGUACAUAGCAUGGCAUACUUUAUAGAACCUAUUACUGAGGGAUAGGGAAUGACUUUCAUUCUCUUCCUAUCUUCUGCCGUGGUCGGGCUUUGAGUCUUACUCAACUUUACACCUUGUAAUACAGGCAAGAACUCCUUCUUUGACUAAUCCAUUUUGAACUCUUUCAAAAUCUUGUUAAGGUAUGUACUCACUGAAAAAUCUUAUCAAGCGUCUUGAUCUAUCUCUAUAGAUCUUGAUGCCCAAUAUGUAAGCAGCUUCACCGAGGUAUUUCUUUGAAAAUCUCCUUUCAAACUCUCCUUUAUGCUUUCCAAAAAAAUUCUACAUCAUUUCCGAUCAACAAUAUGACAUUCACAUAUACUUAUCAAAAAGGCUGUAGUGCUCCCACUCACUUUCUUAUAAAUACAUGCUUCUCCAAAAGUCUGUAUAAAACCAUAUGCUUUGAUCACAUUAUCAAAGCGUAUAUUCCAACUCCGAGAGGCUUGCACCAGUCCAUAAAUGGAUCACUGGAGCUUGCACAAUUUGUUAGCACCUUUUGGAUCGACAAAACCUUCUGGUUGCAUCAUAUACAACUCUUCUUUAAGAAAUCCAUUAAGAAAUGCAGUUUUGACAUCCAUUUGCCAAAUUUUAUAAAAUAUGGCAAUUGCUAACAUGAUUUGGACGGAUUUAAGCAUCACUACAGUUGAGAAAAUCUCAUUGUAGUCAAAACCUUGAACUUGUCAAAAACCUUUUGCUACAAGUCGAGCUUUGUAGAUAGUAAUACUACUAUCAGCGUCCGUCUUCCUCUUGAAGAUCCAUUUUUUUUCUAUGGCUUGCCGAUUGAUACGUCUCCAACGUAUCUAUAAUUUAUGAAGUAUUCAUGCUAUUUUAUUAUCAUUCUUGGAUGUUUUACAAUCAUUUUAUAGCAACUUUAUAUCAUUUUUUGGGACUAACCUAUUGACCCAGUGCCCAGUGCCAGUUGUUGUUUUUUGCUUGUUUUUUACAUCGCAGGAAAUCAAUAUCAAACGGAGUCCAAAUGCAACGAAACUCCUGAAGGAUUUUUUUGGGCCAAAAGAAAGCCAGUGGGCCAAGGAAGCACCUGGGGGGCUACUCGAGGGGAGCAGCACCCACCAGGGCAUGCUAGGAGGCCCCUGGACCGCCUCUUUACCCUAUAAAAUCCCAAAUAUUCCAAAACCCUUCGGAGUAGCCCUUGAUCAGAAGUUCUACCGCAGCAAGGCCUCUGUAUCCACGAGAUCCAAUCUACACCCUAUUCCGCCACCCUGCUAGAGGGGGGAAUCAUCACUGGUGGCCAUCUUCAUCAUCCCGGUGGCUACCACGAUGAGGAGGGAGGAGCCCACCCUCGGGGCUGAGGGUUUGUACCAGUAGCUAUGUGUUUAAUCUCUCUCUCUCUCUCUCUCUCGUGUUCUUGAGAUGUCACGAUCUUGAUGUAUCGCGGGCUUUGUUAAUAUAGUCGGAUCAUAUGGUGUUUUCCCCUCUCUAUCUUGUUGUGAUGAAUCGAGUUUUUCCCUUUGAGAUUUCGUUGUUAUUGGAUUGAAUACUUUUAUGGAUUUGAGAACACUUGAUAUAUUUCUUGCAAUUGAAUACCCAUGGUGACAAUGGGGUAUCGUAUUGAUUCAGUUGAUAUAUGUUUUGGCAUCCAACUCGCGGAUUCCCGCGGUGACAUUGAGGUAAUCUAUGCAUACGGGUUGAUGCACGUUCUCGUCUUUGUUUCUCUGGUAGAAAUCUUGGGGCACUGUUUGAAGUUCUUAGUGUUGGAUUGAGUAUUAUGAAUAUGAAUUUGCUUUGGUGUUAUUUUAGUAUGAACUCUAGGAUAGAUCAAACGGAAAGAAUAGCUUCGUGUUAUUUUAGUACGAACUCUUGAAUAGAUCGAACAGAAAGAAUAGCUUUGAGGUGGUUUCAUACCCUACAAACAAUUCCGUCUUAUGUUCUCCGCUAGAUAGGAACUUUGGAGUGAUUCUUCAUCGCACUUUGAGGGAUAAUCAUAUGAUCCAACUAUGUUAGCAUUGUUGAGAGAUUGCACUAGUGAAAGUAUGCCCCUAGGCCUCAUUUUCAAGCAUUGCAAUGCCGUUUUUGUGCCCAUUUACUAUUUGCUACCUUGCUGUUUUUAUUUAUUCAGAUUAUAAAAAUAUAUUUCUACCAUCCAUAUUACACUUUUAUCAGCAUCUCUUCGCCGAACUAGCUAGUGCACCUAUACAAUUUCCCAUUGUAUUGGGUGUGUUGGGACACAAGAGAUUUCUUGUAUUUGGUUGCAGGGUCGUUUGAGAGAGACCAUCUUCAUCCUACACCUCUCACGGAUUGAUAAACCUUGGGUCAUCCACUUGAGGGAAAAUUGCUACUGUCCUACAAAACUCUGCGCUUGGAGGCCCAACACGUGUCUACAAGAAUAAAGUUGCGUAGUAGACAUCACCGAUCAUCGGGCAAUCCACCAAGGUCCACACUUUGUUCUCAUACAUGUUCUCAUACAUGGAUCCCAUCUCAGAUUUCAUGGACUCAAGCCAUUUCGCAGAAUCUGGGCUCAUCAUCGCUUCCUCAUAGUUCGUAGGUUCAUCAUGGUCUAGUAACAUGACUUCCAGAAUAGGAUUACCGUACCACUCUGGUGCGGAUCGUACUCUAGUUGACCUACGAGGUUUGGUAGUAACUUGAUCUAAAGUUUCAUGAUCAUCAUCAUUAGCUUCCUCACUAAUUGGUGUAGGAAUCACUGGAACUGAUUUCUGUGAUAAACUACUUUCCAAUUCGGGAGAAGGUACGAUUACCUCAUCAAGUUCUACUUUCCUCCCACUCACUUAUUUCGAGAGAAACUCCUUCUCUAGAAAGGAUCCAUUCUUAGCAACAAAUAUCUUGCCUUCAGAUCUAUGAUAGAAGGUGUACCCAACAAUUUCUUUUGGGUAUCCUAUGAAGACACAUUUCUCCGAUUUGGGUUUGAGCUUAUCAGGUUGAAGCCUUUUCACAUAAGCAUUGCAGCCCCAAACUUUAAGAAACGACAGCUUAGGUUUGUUGCCAAACCACAGUUCAUACGGUGUUGUCUCCACGGAUUUUGACGGUGCCCUGUUUAACAUGAAUGCAACUGUCUCUAAUGCAUAAUCCCAAAAUGAUAGUGGUAAAUCGGUAAGAGACAUCAUAGAUCGCACCAUAUCUAAUAAAGUGUGGUUACGAUGUUCGGACACACCAUUACGCUAUGGUGUUCUAGGUGGCGUGAGUUGUGAAAAUAUUCCACAUUGUUUAAAUUGAAGGUCAAACUUGUCGUGGAAUUUUCACGCCAGAUGCCCUAGCAUAAGGACUUAGGUGUGGAUCCAUUGCAACAUAGUUAGAUUGAAGGGGUUAAAACGGGACAAGGGACACAGAGAGUUUACCCAGGUUUGGCCCGUCACAAUGAGGUAAAGGCCUACUCCUGCUUUAGGUUGUAUUACUUGGGUUCCGAUUACCAUGGAGAGAAUACGCUUGACCUAGUUCUCGACUUGUUGUUUCUUGUCCUAACCCGCCGCCGGGUAACCCCUUUAUAUACAUAGGCUGAUACCCGGCGGCUUACAGAGUCCAUGCCGGCUCAUACACAACGUGUCCGGCUCGGUGACAAAACUAAAAUUUCCUUAUCAUACAAGUUAAACAUAUGGCAGUUUAUGCCCGUGGGCCUCAAGUCUCCUCCGGGACUUGGGCCUUCAGUAAGCUUGCUUCAUGAACAACCAUCUUCAACAUCUUCUUGGGCCUCCUCAUUAUGAACCGCCAGUGGCAUGAACCAGCCCCUCCUGGGCGGGUCAUACCCAAUAGUCAUAUCCCCAACAAAACUCGUAACUCAAAUUUUAACCUCCAUGACCAGAUCAUAGAAAUUUUAUUUUCUUUUUACAAUGAUUCUCCACUUCACUCUGAAAUUCUUUGAACUUCAAAUGUUUCAGACUUGUGUUUCAUUAAGUAGAUAUACCCAUAUCUGCUCAAAUCAUCUGUGAAGGUCAGAAAAUAAUGAUACUUGCCACGAGCCUCCACACUCAUCGGACCGCAUACAUCGGUAUGUAUUAUUUACAAUAAGUCAUUAGCUCAUUCCAUUGUUCCAGAGAACGGAGUUUUAGUCAUCUUGCCCAUAAGGCACGGUUUUGCAAGAAUCAAAUGAUUCAUAAUCAAGUGAUUCCAAAAGCCCAUCAGCAUGGAGUUUCUUCAUGCGCUUUACACCAAUAUGACCUAAACAGUAGUGCCACAAGUAUGUUGCACUACCAUUAUCAACUUUGCAUCUUUUGGCAUCAAUAUUAUGAAUAUGCGUAUCACUACGAUUGAGAUUCAAUAAACCAUCAACAUUGGGUGUAUGACCAUAGAAGGUUUUAUUCAUGUAAAUAGAAUAACAAUUAUUCUCUGUCUUAAAUGAAUAACCGUGUUGCAAUAAACAUGAUCUAAUCAUAUUCAUGCUCAAUGCAAACACCAAUAACAUUUAUUUAGGUUCAACACUAAUCCCGAAAGUAUAGGGGUUGUGCGAUGAUUAUCAUAUCAACCUUGGAACCAUUUCCAACACACAUCAUCACUUCACCCUCAACUAGUCUCUAUUUAUUCCGCAACUCAUGUUUCGAGUUACUAAUCUUAGUAACCGAACAGGUAUCAAAUACCUAGGGGCUACUAUGAGCACUAGCAAGGUACACAUCAAUAACAUAUACAUCAAAUAUAACGUUUUCACUUUGCCAUCCUUCUUAUCCACCAAAUAUUUGUGGUAACUCUGCUUCCAAUGACCAUUCCCUUUGUAGUAGAAGCAAUUAGUUUCAGGCUUAGGUCCAGCUUUGGGCUUCUUCACGGGAGUGACAAUUUGCUUGCUAUUCUUCUUGAAGUUCCCUUUCUUUCCCUUUGCCCUUUUCUUGAAACUAGUGAUCUUGUUUAAUCAUCAACACUUGAUGCUUUCUCUGGAUUUCUCCCUUCGUUGAUUUCAGCAUCACGAAGAGCUUGGGAAUCACUUAUGUCAUCCCUUGCCUAUUAUAGUUCAUCUCGAAGUUCCAGUAACUUGGUGAUGGUGACUAGAGAACUUUGUCAAUCACUAUCUUAUCUAGAAGAUUAACUCCCAUUUUAUUCAAGCGAUUGUAGUACCCAGACAUUCUAAGCACAUGCUCACUAGCUGAGCUAUUUUCCUCCAUCCUUUUAGGCAAAGUACUUGUCAGAGGUCUCAUACCUCUUGACACGGGCAUGAGUCUAAAAUACCAAUUUCAUCUCUUGGAACAUCUCAUAUGCUCUGUGGCGUUUCAAAACGUUUUUGAAAUCCCGAUUCUAAGUCGUAAAGCAUGGUGCAUUAUACUAUCAAGUAGUCAUCAUAUUGAGCUAUCCAAACAUUCAUAACGUCUGCAUCUGUUCCUGCAAUAGGUCUGUCACCUAGCGGUGCAUCAAGGACAUAAUUCUUCUGUGCAGCAAUGAGGAUAAACCUCAGAUCACGGACCCAGUCCGCAUCAUUGCUACUAUCAACUUUCAACUUAGUUUUCUCUAGGAACAUAUCAAAACAAAAAACAAAAAAAC